AGGACUUAGGUGAGGCCGCAUAUAUCCUUGGUAUUAAGAUCUAUAGGGAUAGAUCCAAGAGGAUAAUCGGUCUGAGUCAAAGUACUUAUAUUGACAAGGUGCUGAAAAGGUUCAGCAUGCAAGAUUCCAAAAGAGGAUUCUUGCCCAUGUCUCAUGGUAUUCAUCUUAGCAAGAAUCAAUGUCCUAUGACAUCUGAUGAGCGAGAUAGAAUGAAUAAGAUCCCUUAUGCUUCUGCUAUUGGAUUUAUCAUGUAUGCCAUGUUAUGUACUAGACCAGACGUCUCAUAUGCCUUGAGCACAACAAGCAGAUAUCAGGCAGAUCCCAGUGAAAGUCACUGGACAGCAGUUAAGAAUAUCCUAAAGUACCUUAGAAGGACUAAGGAUGCAUUCCUAGUUUAUGGAGGUUUGGAAGACGAGCUAGUUGUAAAUGGUUACACAGAUGCUAGUUUCCAAACCAACAUAGAUGACUUCAAAUCCAGUCAGGAUUCGUAUUCACUUUAAAUGGUGGAAUUGUUAGUUGGAAGAGUUCAAAGCAGAACACUAUAGCAGAAUCUACAAUAGAAGCUGAGUAUAUAGUAGCAUCAGAUGCAGCUAAAAGGGCAGUCUGGUUGAAGGAAUUCAUCUCAGAGUUGGGAAUGGUUCCCAGCAUUGCAAAUCCUAUGGACCUUUAUUAUGGUAAUAACGAUGCCAUAGCAUAGGCAAAGGAGCCCAAAUCUCACCAGAGAUCUAAACAUAUACUCAAGUGAUAUCACCUCAUUCGAGAGAUCAUUGAUAAAAGAGAUAUCAAAAUAUGCAAAGUAGACACAAAUGACAACAUUGCAAAUCCACUGACUAAGCCUCUUUCAUAGGUCAAGCAUGAUCAGCACACUAGGUCUACGGGUAUUAGAUACUUGUAUGAUUAGGCCUAGUGCAAGUGGGAGAUUGUUAGUGUAUAUGUCCUAGGCCAUUAUUUGGACCUUUUUGUAUGUCAUUUUGGUUAUUAAUAAAAGAGGUUUUUAUCAUUAUUAUUUGUUUGCAUGUUACAUAAUAAUGAUUAUCAUCCCUGGUUACUUAUUAUUAUGUUGAUAAUAAUAAAAUAUAACUGGUAUGGUUAUUGAUUGAUAAUCAUGAGAUGAUUAUGUAUAUGUUGAUAUAAUUCAAUAAUCAUAAAUACUUGUUGGAGAACAAAGUAUUGGAUGGACCCACAUUGAGAUCACUACAUGGGUCAUUGUCAUAAAUGAAUCUCAAAGUAGUUAUGUCUUAAUCCUUUGACUUGAGAUUGCUAUAGUUUCCAACAUAAGGACUAUUAUGUUUUGACAUAACCAAACGUUGUCUUUAAUCGGACAAUCAUAAAGGUUAUGAUUGAACAUAAUAGAAAUUAUACAGAGGAAAAUGAACAAUCAAGAUAGGAUUUGUCCCUCUCUAUGAGAGAGAUAUCUUCUGGGCUCCUCGAUAAGUGAGACUGAGAAAUGCAUGGCCGUGCUCAAAUGAAUUGAUAGUGUGAUCAAUAUCAUUUGAAUUUAUCAGUCUACUUAGAGAUCGAGAAAUCAUAAGUUUGAACAUUAUAAGUUUGACAUUGACCAUGACUUAUGUUCAAACUAGAUAUCGUGUGACAAAGGGAUUAAUUCAUGUUCUAUUUAAUAGGCUUUAUUGGACUAUUGAUCCUCAUAUUAGUUGGGUAGUCAUAAUGUCUUGCUAGAGGCCACUUAUGACUUAUAGGCCUUGUUGGACUGGGCCUAUUGCCAAUUAAUGUGAGCCUAUUGGGUCACACACAAGAACGUUAUUGAUGUGCUAUAUUAAUGGGCUAAAAGCCCAUUAGUAUAAUUAAUAAUAAUAAAGUAUUAUUAUUAUUAAUAUUUAAAUAAUAAUAAAGUGUUAUUAUUAUUAAUAUUAAUUAUUAAUAUAAUUAAUAAUAAUAUUAUUAUGAGAUAAUAAUAUUUAAAAGAUCUACAGUCUAUCUGUAAGUAUUACAGUUAAAGAACUCUAUCACAUAAGAUAUUUGAGUAUCUGUGAGAUUGUGAUAGUGGGUUAUGAACACAACUCCUUUUAGGAAAAGGAGUUGUGGGAAAAACACAAUUCCUUUUAGGAAAAGGAGUUGUAGGAAAAACAAAAGACUGAAACAUAUAAAUACUCCUUAUAUGAAUUAUGGGGAGGUUGACGAUGUGUUUUUAGAAAACUCAGUCUAAAAGAUUGCAGAUUGUGGAGCACAUAAUCUAUCCAUCCUUGAGAGAGCUAGCACUCUAGAAGGAUAGAAGACGUUCGUGUGGAUACCAUAGAGGGUGUUCGUUUGAAAAGGCAGCACCAUCAGUCCUCCAGUAUAUCUUUCUUACGAGAUUAACAGGUUAGUCUCAUAUUCUUCUUAUGAUUUAAACGAAGCACUCGGAUUCUGGGAAAGGAAAUCCAAAAUUUUAUUUUUCCGCUGCGCAAUUGGGUUGCAAUUAAUCUCGAUGUAACGACCCGAAAAUCGGACCGCUACCGGCGCUAGGAUCCAGAUCGGCUUAAGGCCGCCGGGACCCGUAGCAAGCCUGACAUACAUCCUGAAAACCUGUGUAAUCCCAUACAUGAUCAACAACAUACAUAAAAAUUUGAACUUUUCUUUUCUUUUACCAAGCUCAACCUGUGCAUGCACAUAAACAUAUACAUAACAUAAACAUAAACCUCACACUGGAGCUCUCAUUAAAUGCUCCAAUGGGGUAUCUCAUCAUACACAAGCUUGGUGGAACAUAAACCUCAUAAAACAUUUUAUAGAUCAUGCAUCAAAGGGAAUAACAUCACAAACUCGGUCAAGCACAAUCUCUAAACCUUAAUCUCAAUAUCAAUAUUUACAUGACAUAACUAUUCAUAACUUUACAACAUUUUACAAUUUAUCAUGUCCACAUUCUAACUAUUACAUAUACAUGACUUCAUUCAUCUUGACUUCUCUGCCUAGCCCGUACCUGCAAACCUGGGGGAUUAGGGAGAGGGGUGAGCUACUAGAGCCCAGUGAGCAGAAUAAUAAAAACAUUUAAAUCAUAUGCCAUAAUGGAAUGCGACACAUCACAGACAAAUCACAUCACGGAUGGUAUUGUCACCCAUAGUCAUCUACAUUCCAAAGUGCCGGGAUGUAGAAUGGGUCAACCGGUCUUUCUCUUAACAUAACAUAUCAUAACAUUCCAAUGUGCUAGGGACGUAGAAUGGGUACAACCUGGACUUUCUCUUACAUCGUGCCAGGGACGUAGAAUGGGUACAACCUGGACUUCCAUACCGUACCAUGCCGUAACAUCAUCAUAUCAUAUGAGGACUAAAGGAUCAUCCAAUAACCAAUCCACAUCAACAUUAUAAAUGCAAUGCAAUAUAUUUGUGAAUUCCAAUGCAAGCAACCUAGGAUAUCGCAUGGCAUUCAUGAUGCAUGAACAUGCUCAAAACUUUAUAAUUUAUUUGCUUUAAACGUAAAGGUUUAUUCUACUCACCUCAGCUAGCUCUGACAAAAACUGAAACAGCUGACUCACUGCUGGGGUCCUCGGUUCCUCGGGUACGAACCUACACAGGUGGACUCAAAUGAGGGACCAAACAACUAGAACAUGACUCUAAAAACAUCCCCCAAAAACCCCCUAAAAUACCUCAGAACCAUCAUGUAAAACAUGCAAAGAAAGGCUGAACAGGGCACUUUCAGCGGCAGGUUUGGCGGCCGAAAGUCCCUCCAGAGCCGAAAGUCAGGCAGGUUCGGCGGCACCUUUGGCGGCCGAAACUCCCAGACAGAGGCGAAACUCAUGCAUGUUCGGCGGCACUUUCGGCGGCCGAAUCUGCCCUCCAGAGACGAAAGUCCUCUUUCGGGGUAGGCUUCGGCAGCCGAAAGGCUUGCCUCCCAGGCAGGUUCGGCGGCCGAAAGUCCUUCGGCUGCCGAACCUGGUUUCUGCCAGAAGGGCAGAAACUCGGCUCCUCAUGCACAUUUGUCUCUCAAAACCUUCAAUCAAGCAUUUUUCUAUUCUACAACAUGCAUACACAAGCAUAACAGCUCUUAGGGGCUUCAAACUAUCCUAAACCCCAACUGCAACACAUCAAACAUGCAUAUCCAAGCCAUAUUGUCCACACAUGCACAGUAAACCCAUAAACUCAUAAAACCCUACACAUGCAUUUUUACUUCAAGAAUCAAGUUAAAACUUGUUAAAAACAUAUAGUGAGCUCAAGAUUGGCCCUUACCUCUUGAAGAUCGAGAGGAAAACGACCCUAGCUCGAAGAUGGGAGAGAGAGAGCUCCUUGAACCUCCAAGCUCCAAAACUUGCUCAAAAGCUCACAAUCUUCAAAACAAAGCGAAAACUUGUGAAAAUCUUGAAAGAUUUAAAGGAAGAAACUCAAAAUCGGUGAGGGGGUGGCGGAGAGUUCACCUUGGCCGAAAAUGGGGAGAAAAGCUCGCCCGUUUUCGACUAAGGGACCCCUUUAUAGGUGGCUGGCCAGGCCACGUUCGGGGGCCGAACAUGCCUCCGCAUGCAUGCCAUGUUCGGCGGCCGAACUUGAGGUUCGGCGACCGAACCUGGACUUCCCUCACUUAUGCCUUCGGGGGCCUAAGGCACACCCGAGAUGCCUGCAUGUUCGGCGGCCGAACCUGGGUUUUCCUCCAAUGCUAUUUUCAUGCAAAAACUCAUUUCCAUCUUGCUUAAAACCAUAAAACACGUUAAAACAUUCUAUGAAAACAUGGUUUUACCCUUCUAGAGGUCUCCGACAUCCGAGAUUCCACCGGACGGUAGGAAUUUCGAUACCAGAGUCUAGCCGGGUAUUACACUCGGGAUUUCCCAACAUGUUCAUAGUCUUUUGACCAUUGGAACAGUUUUCAAUUUGUGCUUUUGAGGUCGUUGCCUUUGCUGAAUUUCCUUUCUCUCAAUGAUUUGGGCAAAUCAACUCCAAUUGCUAAAACAAGUCAUGUUAAGUUCAUUCACACAAUUUCAAUUCAUUCUCUCUAAUGAGGGUCAUCAAUAUGUUUUUCACCAUGGCAAACUCAAAGAUUCAAUUCAAAAGGCAAUUCCCAAACAUGAAUAUAACCUAUUGCAAUUGAUUCAACAUAAGUUUAAAGAGUCAUCACAUUAAUGGGGUCAUAUAAAGAAAGUUCAUCCAACAUAGUUCAUGAGUUUGAGUGAAGCAAAUCAAAAAGAAAAGAGAAAAACUGCGGCUAAUCAAAUGCAAAAUAAAAGGGAAAACUGAAAGGAAAGAUGUGUCUAAAGCAAACUAAAAAUUAAAGCAAAAAUUAAACUAAAAAUUAAAGCAAAAAUUAAAAAUUCUCAGAUCCGCACCCCCACACCUAAAUCAUGCAUUGUCCUCAAUGUAUAGAAAUCAUAAAAGAACAAAAGAAAUGGAGUACUCCCCUUGGUGUGGAUUGCAUGGUGCGAUGAAGCCUAUUCAGAAUGGGUGACGAACAGAUGUUCGUCGGGGAAAUCUUCAUUGACAGGACAUGGCGCAGAGGUGGAUGCAAGUCGGCUGAGGUGGUCAGCCACUAAAUUCUCUUUCCCUUUCUUGUGUCGUAUCUCCAGAUCAAACUCUUGCAAUAGUAAAAUCCACUGAAUGAGUCUCAGUUUUGGUUCCUUUUUCUUGAUUAGAUAUCGCAAGGCAGCAUAGUCAGAGUAGAUGGUGACUUUGGUUCCCAAUAGAUAUGGUCUGAACUUCUCUAGGGCAAACACAACAGCUAAGAGCUCCUUUUCUGUUGUUGAGUAGUUGCUUUGGGCAGCAUCCAAUGUGCGAGAUGCAUAGUGAAUCACAUGGGGUGAGUUCCCCACACGUUGCCCCAAAACUGCACCCAUAGCAUAGUUGCUUGCAUCACACAUGAUCUCAAAGGGCAAGUUCCAGUCAGGUGCCUGAAUGAUGGGAGCAGUCACAAGCAGUUCUUUUAUCAAAUCAAAUGUUUUCCUACAAUCUGCAAGUCUUUCUAGCAUCUGAUCAAUGAAAGGCAAAGGAAAAUGAUAUUUCCUUGUGUCUGCAUUUAGCUUUCUAUAAUCCAUGCAAACUCUCCAUCCAUUCUGAACUCUAGUCGGAACAAGUUCUCCUUGGCGUUUGGCACAAUGGUGAUCCCUGUUUUCUUUGGAACCACAUGCACAGGACUUACCCAUUUGCUAUCAGAGAUAGGGUAGAUGAUUCCUACGUCUAGAAGCUUGAUUAUCUCCUUUUUCACAACCUCCAUCAUGGGUGGAUUCAGUCUUCUUUGAGCAUCUCUGACUGGCUUGCAUUCUUCCUCAAGGUGUAUUUUAUGCAUGCAUGUGGUGGGAGAGAUACCCUUGAUGUCAUCUAUGGUCCAACCUAUGGCUUGCUUGUGCUUCCUCAGUACCUUCAGGAGGCUCUCUUCCUCAUGUUGGCUCAAUUGAUUAGACACUAUCACUGGAACUAUCUUUUUGGCUCCCAAGAAUGCAUACUUCAAGUGGCCUGGAAGAGGCUUUAGAUCUAAUUUCGAAGUUUUCUUCUCUGUUGUCUGUUGCCUGGCUGAACUAGGUUCUGCUUGUUGCACAUGGACUGUCUGCAAGGUGGGCGGAAAAGGCUACGAUGGAAGUUGAAGAGGCGCCGACUGGUCCUGUGGAGAGGGCUUCGGCGGCCGAAGGUUGGUGGGACUCGGCGGCUGAAGGAUAGUGAAGUUCAGCGGCGGAAGGAUGCCACUUUGCGGAAGCUGAAAGGACGACAUGGGCUUCUGCGAUUGGCUCUGCAGUUCUUUCUGAAAUGGUGCGAUCGCCCCCUGUUCUUCCUGCAGUGGUCUGCAGCUCAGCUGUUGGAUGCUGCAGACUGUUUCUGUCAGUUUUUGCUCUUCAUCUUCGAGAUCAGGUUCCUUGCAGAGAUCAUUGUUUAGCACAUCAUCAUGAUUCUCAUUAAAAAUCUCUUGACUCAAACAAUCAAUCAUGUCUAAACCAUAAACAGGGGACAAAUCAUGGGGAUAUCUCAUAGCAUCAUAAACAUUAAAUUUAAUCACUUCCCCUUCAAAUUCCAUGGUCAAUGUGCCAUCAUGCAUAUCGAUUUUAGUUCUGGCAGUGCUCAAGAAAGGUCGCCCAAGAAGGAUGUCAGAUGUGGUAUUGCUAUGGUCAUCUUUCAUGUCAAUUCCAUAAAAUUUUGCUGGAAAGACCAGUUAGUCUACUUGCACAAGUACAUCUUCUUGUACUCCUUUGGGGUGUACUACAGAUCUGUCGGCCAGUUGAAUCACCACUCUUGUGGCUUUAAGUGCACCUGCAUUUAAAGAGUUAUAGAUGAAAAGGGGCAUAACAUUGAUAGACGCACCUAAAUCACACAUGGCCUUUUUGAUGCCAAUAUUGCCAAUCUGGCAAGAGAUAGCAAACAUCCCUUUGUCCUUACACUUAGUCAGGAGUUCUCUUUUUAUGACAGCUGUCACAACUUCUCCCACAUUCACUUUUUCUCUUUCAGCAAGCUUCCUGCGAUUAGUACACAAUUCUUUCAAAAAUUUCGCGUACCUUGGAAUCUGUUUCACAGCAUCAAGCAGUGGUAUGUUGAUUUGCACCUUCCUGAAGGUCUCAAGAAUUUCUUUCUCCUCUUUGUCUUUCUGUGAUUUUUCAAACCUUUUUGGAAAGGGAGGUGGGACUGUGAAGCUUACCUUUGGGUCUGCAGUCAGUCUCUGUGCAGGAGGAGUAUCCGUAGAUUUGGGUUGCGCUGGGCGAGCAUCCGCAAAUCUGGGUUGUGUACCAGCGGUUCCCUGUCUAUCAACUGUGGUAUCCUGUAGCUCUUUUCCAUUUCUCAACACAAUAGCAUUCACAUUUUGCCUAGGAUUAUCUUCAGUUUGAGAAGGUAACUUACCUUGAGACUGAAGCUGACUUAUGGCUGUGGCCAUUUGACCCAUCUGCUGUUGCAUCAUUUGCAAGGUCUUCGCUAACUCUCCAUUGCUAGGUUCUGAACUUGGAGGUGCUGGUUGGGCUUGAUUCCUUUGGUAGUUCUGAUAAUUGUUACCCUUGGCGUAGCUGAAAUUGGGAUGGUCCCUCCAACCUGGGUUAUAGGUGUUAGAGUAGGGAUCACAUCGUACCUGGCUAUUGUAUCCUCCAAUUGCAUUGACUUGCUGGUCUCCUUCUUGAAGUGCAGGACAUUGAUCAGUUGGGUGUACUACAUAUGCACAUAUGCCACAUGGCUGAGGUUCCUGAGGCUGUUGAGUCUAACCUAGGGCAAUUAUUUCCACAAGAGAAGUUAGAUGUGACAUUUGAGAUUCAUAUUUGGACAUACUUACCUCAUGGACUCCUUUUUGCAUUUGCUUUUCUUCUCCAUAUUGUCUAGAUGAGGCUGCAAGGGUUGAGAUCAACUCUUUCAUCUCCCUAGGUGUUUUGUCUGCAAUUGAGCCUUCACAAGCCACGUCAAUGAACUUUCUUUCUGAUGACAACAGUCCUCCAUAGAAGAAUUGUAUGAGGGACUUGUUUGUCAUGUCAUGUUGAGGACAACCUAUACACAAUCUUUCAAAUCUUUCCCAAUAAUCAUAUAAGUCCUCGGAUGGUUUCUGUCUUAUGCUAGUAAUUUCUCUUAUUAUGCCAAUGGCUUUAGAUGUUGGGAAGUAUUUAUCCAGAAAAGUUGUAACCAUAUCAUCCCAUGAAGUAAUAGAUCCAGGUGGCAAAUAAAAUAACCAGUCCUUAGCAUAAUCAUCUAGAGAAAAGGGAAAAGCUCUUAAUCUAACAUGAUCUUCAGAAAUACCUUGAGGUCUCAUAGAUGAACAAACAACAUUGAAUUCUUUUAAGUGCUUGUGUGGGUUCUCAUUUUCCAAGCCUUUAAACUUAGGUAGUACAUGUAUCAAACCUGUUUUGAGCUCAAAAGGAACUAUCAGAGGUGGAUAAUUGAUGCACAGAGGUGCUUGAUCACCUAUAGGGGCUGCCAACUCUCUCAUGGUUCUUUCUCUUGGCAUUGGGGUCCCCAUGGCUUGAUUUUCUUACCUAUUCUCCUUAGGGACAGCAUGUCCAGCAUUGGCAGCAGGUUGUGCCGCGUUUUCAGCCAUUUCAGAUGGUGGAAAUUGUGUUGGAAGGGUUUCAGAAGGCUGAUCUGCGAUUUGGCUUGCUGUCUGCGCAGAUCUGGUUUGUGCAGUCUCCAAAUGCGUGCCUAUUUACUUACCUAAUCUUCUGAUUGUGUGCUUAAUUUUUGGAUCGUAAGGCAGAAUUUCCUCGUGUCCAGAUCUAGUCAUAAAAGGAAAAUAAAUCAGUUAAAACAAUUCCCCGGCAACGACGCCAAUUUUUGACAGAAUGGUUGUCAAAGCCGGUAAAAACUAAUCAGUUCAGUUAUCAACAAUAUAAAUACUGUAGAUAGUGGUGAAAGGAUCGUAUCCAUAGGGAAUUGAUACUUUUUUACCUUCCUUGAGAAGACCAAAUUAUUGAGCAGAAAACAAAGUGAAAGUAGAGUACAAGUAAAGUAAAAAGGGGGGUUUUUUGAUUUGAUUAUACUAAUAAAAAGAGCAAUUAAAAGAAAGCGAAUGUCAAUUUAAGGAUAAAACAAUGAUGGUAAAAACUCUAGUUGAAGAUUCGGAUUCACUUUGGUUGAUGGGAUUGAUCAUUGACACAUAUGUUCUUUUGCUUGAUUCAAUAAAUUAGUCAUGGCGAUUGAAGACGCUUCUCACAACCAUACUUCUCCUUUAUUAUUAACUAAUUAGGGAGAGUCCUCUAAUUAAUUACUAAUCAACAAAUUGCAAGGAACGUCCUUGAGCCUUAGGCUUACUAACAAUUGUCAAUUGCAUUAAGAUAUGGAGAAAACCAAUUAUAGUUACCCACAAGCAUGGUGACAACACUAGAUCAUGCAAUGUCCUUGGCUUUUACACCAAGUGUCCCUAUGUUUGAACAAUCUAAGUAAUUAAGGACUUAAAAUUAUCCAAACUAACAAAUAUCAAUUACCUUGUAAUCAAGAAUCAAUGUAGAUCCACACAACAAAGCAAUAAUAUCUUAAAGCACGAAAUUACAUGAAUAUUGAAAAACAAAAGAUUAACAAUGUGGUCCAAGUCUCUCAAUCAAAAUUACAACCAAAGCUUCACCUAUUCUUCAACUAGAAAGAAAAGGUUUCAGCCACUCAUGGCUGAAACAAAACCAAAAUAAAAAGAAAGGAAGAAGGAGAAGAGAAGCCGAAGCUUGGAGAAUAAGGAGAUGGCGUCUUGCUUGAUCCGGAUGGGAGAAGGAGAAGAGAGGAAGAUGGGAAAAUGUGGAAGCCACUUAGAGUACCUUUUUAUAGAGUUUUGAUGCUGCCCUAGGUCUCCCUUGCUUCCUAAUUAGUGUAGAGGCUGCCCAUGCUCAACUUGCUGCCCAAGUUGUUGCAGAAGAGGAAAGAAUCGGACUGCAAGCUCUUUAGAAGGUAGGUGUGCACGGAUGGCUUUCAGAAUAGGAAAGGAGCGUACCUUAAGCUUGAAAAGGAAGAAUGAGUGAUCCAAGGCUGCCAAUAGAGGAAAGGGAGGUGCCUAGGCCUUCAUAAGGAAGGUGCAACGCUCGGCUGGCUUGAAUAGGCAGUAGAGGCACGCGGAAGGCUUUGCAAAAGAGGUAGGCGGGCGCGGCUUGCUUCUGAAUAGGAAGCAUGAGUUGUCCAGACUUCCUUUUUAGGUGGAGCCUCUUUUGAAUUAUGAAUCUGGACUGAAUAAAGGCCAAGUGCAUAUUGAGAUAUUGCUUCCUAAAUAGGAGGAUCUACUGAGGUGUCUGCAUAUCUUUAAAUGAGGAAAGAAAGAUUCGCAAUUUGAAUUUCAAACGGUCUGCUGACUGCACUUUCCUUAUCUGUUACCUUCCAUAUUUGACUUCUCAUAUAAGGAAAGAAGGAUCUGUAAUUUGAAUUUCAAAUCUUCUGUUAAUUGCGCUUUUAUUUUCUGACACUUUCCUUAUUUGGCACUUUCCUUAUUUGGCUUCCCAUUCUGAAAAAGGCAAGGAAGAUCUGCAGUUUGAAUUUCAAAUAGUCCGCCAACUGUGCCUUCCUUAUCUGACUCUUUCCUUAUUUAGAAAUUUCCAUAUAUGAAAACUUUUCUUAUUUGGAACUUUCCAUAUUUGGCACUUUUUGGCAGUUUUAAGAGCAUUUUCUCCAGAUUGUCUUUUCACACCUAGUUUCUGCAAAACAUGAGCAAAACCACAAAAUUAGACAGAAAAGGUGCAAAUAAACCUCAUUAGCAUCAUGAUAAUAUGGCCUAAAUUAUGCUCUGUCAACUAUGCUGUGGUUGGCAAAAACCUGCAAGAAAGCAGACGUGAGGUGCUAGUGGAUACCCUCGGCAGCCACUCCGACACUCAAGUCAGUACCUUGAAAAAAAGAGAGAAUAUAAUAGAUGACUCAAAACUUUAAUAGUAUUAGAGAUAGCAUAUUUUUGCCUCUGUGAUUGUUCCCCCUUUUAUAUUGUAAAAAGAUGAAGAUAAAUAUAAAUAUAGUAUUUUCUAAAAAUCUGGCAAUGAUGUGGCCGGUUGCUCCGUAAGGGAUAUCGCCAACUAAUAAGUUGAUGAUCCCGCGAUCACAGGUGAAAUGAGAGUAUGUUGGGCUGUACCUGAUAACGGUAACUCUAUGUCAAGACUCGGCCUAUUAGGGAGACAAGUCUUGUCAAUAAACCGGGUGUUAAAGUAUCCAGAUCUUCCAUUUCCUCGUGUGGGACCGCUUUUUCUAUUUGUCAGAAUCUUGCCACGUGGCCCCUGUUUUGUGGUAACAACCCAUAGUUUACUUUGGAUGGUUCUUAUGUAGCAUCAGAGGUCUCCCCACUAGUCUUCAUUUCUUCAUAUUCGAAGGGGACAUCUUUUAUCAAGAUUCGGAUACAUGGCCCCUCGAUAUUGGUUUCUUGCUACCCAUGUUGCUUCGCCUACCGAUCCUUUUGAUGACUAUAUCAUGUCGCAUAUAAUGCCUACCAUGGAAACCAUCUUUAUAAAGGUCCAUCGUCUUCUCCAAGCGUCAAUUUUGCAUUCUUUUGCAACUUCUUUUUUUAGAGGCAUUCAUUCUACAACUCCCUUCUUAUUUCUGUUAAAGCCUUUACCUAUUUCACAAUAACUUUGUUGUCAUUUUUUAAUAUGGAUAGGAAUACCUCUUCUUCCCCUAGUGAGGCCUCUAUUUCUACCUCUUCCUCUGAUGGACCCAUCUGAGCGCCAACCCUCCAUUAUUCCAGUGAGGGAAACCAUCGAGAACAAAUGUGACUCUCUUAGUAAUAUCCUGUCUAUCUUCUUGAAUAGCGACAUGGAUCAUUUGUAUGAUACCUAUCAUAUUUCUUGGGAUUCUUUUCAAAUUUUUGCUCUUGCUCCCCGCGUUUAUGCUAACGACUUAAUCCCCGCUGGCAACAUUAUCAUUGUCUUCGAGGAGCAGUUGAAGGCGGGUCUCCGUUUCCUUUAAACCCCCUUCUUUGUGGAGGCCCUCCGAUUUCACAAGCUUUCUAUUACCCAGCUUCAUCCUAACGGUGAGAGAAUCUUGAUGGCCUUUUGAUUCAUGUGUUUUAAUAAUCACAUUGAAUAAAAAAUAGUGCUUUUCUCUUAGUUAUACCAACUGGGUACCCAUAAAAAUGAGGAGUUUUGGUACUUUAGCAAUCAAAAGUACUUGAAUAUUUUUUAUCGAAUGCUUUCUUCUUUGAAAUAGUGGAAAAAUAAGUUUUUUGUCCUCCUUCAUUGUAUGCUGGGGGGUUUUGGGUGCCUUCAAACUAGCUGGCACUAUUGGGUAGAGCUGAAGAAGGAUGGGGCCCGUCUGAGAAAAGAGGAAGACAAGGCUUUAACUUCUCUUAUUGCAAUGGCUAAAGCCUUAAGGAUGAUUGAUAUUACUCAAGUGGUGAGGAACCCAUCUUGUCCUAGUAGAGCCAUCUGCCAGCAAGCCAGACACGCGCUCCUCACCCAUUCAUCCUUUCUGAAAGCACACCCCUAUCUCGGGAUUAGGGUACUUCUCUUUUCAUCUUUUUCAUUUGGUGAACUGACUUUCUUACUUACUUUUCCUUCUGUUUGCAUAUAUGGCUGGGUUAAGCAGAUUUGCGAAAGUGGUAUGUGCUGCUUGAAAGGGCAAGGCUGUUGCUGCUGGGUUGCUAAUCCCCCUGCUAAAUGUGCUCACCCUUUGGAAGUGGUGAUUAUACUUCCUCCUCCCCUUCCCAAACCUACAGCCAAAGAGCUGGCAUCCCUUUAGCCUGAAUCUUUGGCCUCAGAUGCUUCUGCUUUGGCCUUCACUCCUGUGCUCCCUGAUGAUGCCCCUUCUUCCUCUGUUCCUACGAGUGCGACGAUCGAGUCUUCCUAGCACGUUGGCAUUCAAUCUUUGGCCUUAGCGCUAAAUCGAGUGCCUUCGCUCCUUGAUGACCUUUCUCUGGGCCUCUUGCUAUUCAAGAGUUCUCUGAGACCUGUAGAUCGCCGCCAUUUGAAUGAGGUUGAGAUGAGCGAGCUAUUUAUUAAUGCCAUUCAUUUGGUGUUGGAGGGUGCCUUUUACGCCUAUAUGGCCAAAGAGCAUUUUAGAGCCUUGAGGCGAGAAUUCGGUGUAAACGAGAUGCACAGGGAGUUCUUGGCCAAAGAAUGUCCAAGCUUGAAGACUUGGAUUGUCAAAGUUGAGGGUACGAUGAAGGAGACCUUGAAGUUGGUGGAUAAGCUUUAGGAUGAUCUUGAUGUGACCCUUGCUUCUAACUUGGCCCUUGAGAGUCGAGCUAAAUCCGUGGAGGAUCAAAUAGCCCUAUUGCAAUGCUAGGUCUUAGAGCUACAGGCUCAAGCUGCGGGGCCCUGGGCUACCUCAACCAGGGUAGUUGAGCUCGAGGCAGAACUCCAGCAGACAGUGGCUCAGGGCAGGGAGAUGUUUGUCCAAGGCUAGGAUUUCAUGAAGAAAGAGCUGAUGAAGCAUUUUCCUUCAGAGAAUUUCUCCUAGAUAGAUGACAUCCUCCCCGAGAAAGAAAAUAAGGGUGGAGGGGAGCGUGCUGAAGAUACUCCCGUCGAAGAGGAGCGUGAUGAAGAUGUACCCUCUGACUAGGUUUCUCCUGUAGCAGAUGUCGAAAAUAUCAAGUAAUGGAGAUUGGGGUGGAUGAACCUAAUGACCCUGCCCUUUUGUAAUUUUUCAUUUUUAAUGAGAAUGUUGUCUUUAUUUCCGUUAAGCGUUUAUAUGUUCUGCAUAAAAUAUUUUUUUGAGAUGGGAAAAAUUUGCUUAAGGGGCUAAUACCCAUUUAUAAUGCCUAGUCACUGACAUGUUUUGUGGCCAUAAAAUAAGAGACUUAGUGAAUUUCCAGAAUAGGUCUAAUGCCCAAACAUCAAGUACAGCAGAUGCUCGCCUUGUGGCUGUAAUUCGUAGGACAAACGUUCAAGCAGUCCGGCAAAAACCAUUUUGUGACCUGACCUGAGAAAACUGUCUUAUGAUCUUAAUUCGUGGGAUCAAUGCCCGAGUGGUUUGGUAAAAAUCGCCUUGUGACCUGGUGUAACGACCCGAAAAUCGGACCGCUACCGGCGCUAGGAUCCAGAUCGACUUAAGGUCUCCGGGACCCGUAGCAAGCCUAACAUACAUCCUGUAUACCUCAUAACAUCCCAUACAUGAUCAUACAUUUUCAUAAAACUUAAAACUUUCCAUAUACCAAGCUUGAACUGUGCAUGCACCAUGAACAUAUACAUAAAAACCCUGUUAGAGCCCUCAUCAAAUGCUCUAGUGGGUCAACAUAACAUAUAUCAAGCUUGGUUCAUCAUUUCUCAUCAUAAAACAUUUAUUAAAAGGAUCAUGUACAAAGGGAUAAACAUACAUUAGGGCCAAGCACAAUACUAAAUCUCAAAUCAUUACAUUACAUUAUACCAUUUUACAUUUCAGGUCCACUACUAACUAUUACAUAGACGUAACCUUCAACCUGGAUGAUUCCCCGGUCUAUCCUGAACCUGCAAGCCUGGGGGUUAAGGGAGAGGGGUGAGCUAAAAAGCCCAGUGAGCAGAACUAUAUAAAACAUUUAAAUAGUCAUAUGCUUUCAUGAAAUGCAUCACAUCACAAGUAAUCACCUCAAGAUGGUAUUGUCACCAAAAGUCCUCUACAUAUCCAAUAGAUGCCCGACCCUCGACGGAGCUCCUCAGGACUUCCUCUUAAAACAUAACAUAUCAUAUCCUAUAUGCCAGGGGCGUAGAAUGGGCCUCGACCUGGACUUCCAUAACAUCUCAUAUCAUAUCAUCUUGAGGACUAAUGGAUCAUCCAAUAACCAUCCACAUCAACAUCAUAUUAUGCAAUGCAUCAUAUUCGUGAAUUCUAAUGCAAACACCAUAGUACAUAACAUGGCAUUCGUGAUGCAUGAACAUGCUCGAAAGAUUUCAUUAAUUUAAAAACAGAGUUCAGUUCUACUCACCUCAGGCUGACUAUGAACAACUAACACUGUGGGCCUCCUCGGUUCCUCGAGUCCAAUCCUACAAAGGUGGACUCGAAUGAGGAGCCAAACAUACACUAACAUAACUCUAAACAUCUCCCCAAAAACCCCCUAAAACAUCACAAAACAUUCAUAGAAAAUCAUGCAAAGGAAGGCUGGAAGGGUACUUUCGGCGGCAGUUUCGACGGCAGGUUCGGCGGCCGAAAGUCCCUCCAAAGCCGAAAGUCAUACACCUUCAGCGGCACCUUCGGCGGGCGAAAGUGCCUUCCAGAUCCGAAACUCAUGCAUUUUCGGGGGCAGGUUCAGCGGUCGAAACUCCCCUCUAGAGUUUGAAAGUCCAAACUUUCGGGGGCAAGCUUAGGCGGCCAAACAUGCCACCACAGGCAGGUUCGGCGGGCGAACAUGCCUUCGGCUGCCAAACCUAAGUUCUUCCAGAAUGGCAGAACUCAGCCUCUCUGUAACGACCCCAAAACGGACCGUCACCGGCGCUAGGAUUCAGGUCGGCUUAAGGCCGCCGGAACCCGUAGCAAGCCUACUAUCCUCUCUGUGUACCUGUAAAUCUCAUACAUGAUCAUACAUUUUCUGUGAAAAUAAAAACUCUUUUUCUCUGUACCAAGGCUUAACCUGUGCAUGCACUAUCUCUGUACUCUGUACUCUGUACCUCUGACUAGAGCUUGCUCUAGAUGGGUUGUUUCAUACCUGUUAAGCCUGGUUUUUCACAUACUCUGUAAAACAUAUACAAACAUAGAUCAUGUACAUAACAAAAGAUUUACAACACAAACAUCACUAAGUCAAGCACAAGUCUAACUUUAAACACAACUGGUACAUCUCUUUAAUAUUAUAUGUCCACUCUAAGCUAUUACAUAACUCUUCUCUCUUCUGUACUCUUCUGGACUUCCCCUGUACACUGUACACUGAACCUGCAAGACUGGGGUUAAGGGAGUGGGAUGAGCUCUAUAGCCCAGUGAGUAGAACAAUAAAAUAAGUCAUUAAAAUAUGAUCUUAUGAAAUGCGUCAUAUCACAGACAAUCCAUAUCAAGGGUAAACCCGUCACCACAUAGUCCCAGUAACUGAUCCAUGCCAGGCCAUAGACUGGGGUCCUGGUCUUCCAGUACUGUAUAUAUAUAUGUGUAUAUAACACCUGUACUUACCAUUUGCCAGGCAUAGAUCGGAAAACUAGUCUUACUAUACCUGCCAGGCCGUAGAAUGGGGUCCUGGACUUCCUGUCUGGAACUACUGGAUCAUUAAGCAUUUACCCACACCAACAAAUAGGUAUGCAAUGCAACAUCUUUGUGAAUUCUAAUGCAAUCAACCUAUUGCAUAUUCAUGAUGCAUGAAAGAUGCUAAAAGCAGUUAAUGUCUUAAUUAAAAUGAGUAAUAAGUUUAGUUCCACUCACCUCUGGCUGUCUGGACUGACUCUGCAGGUUUUGUAAUCUCUGGAGCAGUACUCACUGCUGCUCUCUCUGGUUCCUCUGGUCUGUGUAAGCACAGAAAGACUCAGAUGAGGGACCAAACUAGCUUAAGAAUAACUCUAUUAAACUCCCCAAGAAUCCCCUUAAUCUCACUCUAAAACUCAUGCAAAGCAUGCAAAAGAAAAGCUGGACAUAUAAUUUCGGCCGCAGGUUCGGCGGCCGAAAGUCCUCUCCAGAGACGAAACUCAUGCACCUUCGGCGGCCGAAUCUCAACUUUCGGGGGCAAGUUUCGGGGGCUGAAAGGCACUCCAGAGACGAAAGUCUCUAACCUUCGGCGGCACCUUCGGCGGCCAAACUCCCCUCAAGAGCCGAAAGUCCAAAAGCUCGGGGGCAAGCUUGGACAGCCGAAGUCACCUCCUCUCACCUACUCAGGGGUUCGGCGGCCGAAUGUACCUUCGGCGGCUGAACCUGAGUUCAUCAGCAGGGCAGAAACUUGCCCUGCCUCUCGCCAAAUGCACCAAACUCCACCAAACACAAACACCACACUUCCUCAACUUGCAUACACCUAAGUAUAUGCUCAAAGGGGUCAAAGACUACCUAAAAACCCCAACAAUACAAAUCACAUAACACACAAACAAGCCUUUCUCACAAAAUCAUCAAAAACUCUUCUUUUAACCUAUUCAUGCAACUCUCUCCAUAAACCCCAUAAAUCUUCCAUAAAACAUGAAAACAAGCUCAGGAUCUUCACUUACCUCUUGAAAUCAAGUAGAUGAAUGAUCCUAACGUGGAGUUUUGAAGCAACUCUCCUUUAAACUCUCCAAAAUUCACAACUUUGUAUUUAAAACUCAAAACCUUCAAAAUAACAUAAAACUCAAUCAAAUCUUUGCAUGAUUUAAUGAAAACAUGAAGAAAACUCUAAAAAGGACAGGGUUUCACCUUAGCAAGUCAAAGAAACGGUGAUCUUAUCGUUUCAACCGACUGAGGGCCGUUUUAUAGGUGGCUGGCCAGACCACCUUCGGCGGCCAAACGUGAAACCGAAAGCCAUGCAUGUUCGGCGGCCGAACCUCACCUUCGGCGGCCGAACCUGGCUUUUCUGCCUUGGUUCAUUUCUUCCAAAAACUCAUGACAUUUUCACUUUAAAACUUUAAAACAUUCCAUAGUACUUUAGAAAAACAUAAAUCCUACCCUUCUAGAAGAUUCUGACAUCCCGGAUUCCACCAGACGACAGGAAUUCCGGUGCCGGACUCUAGCUGGGUACUACAUUCUCCCCCCCUUAAGAACAUUCGUCCUUGGAUGUUCCUAAAACAAACAAGAAAAACAACAAAAGGAGGAAACUAACCUCAAAACAGAUGUGGAUACUGCUGGAGCAUAGACUCCCGCAUCUCCCAGGUGCACUCUUCCAGAUUAUGGUGGUUCCACAAAACUUUCACCAUCGGAAUCUCCUUGUUCCUUAGCUGUCUGAUCUGCGUGUCCAGAAUCCGUACCGGCUGCUUUGUAUAAGUGAGAUCCCCUAGAAUCUCCACAUCAGGCUCACUAAUAACCUGACCCGGAUCUGACACAAAUUUCCGUAGCAUAGAAACAUGAAAUACCGGGUGAAUCCUCUCCAUAGAAGUGGGUAAAUCCAGCUUAUAUGAUACAUUUCCGAUCCUCUGCAAAAUCUCAAAGGGUCCAAUGUACCGUGGAGCUAACUUACCCUUCUUCCCAAAAUGAACCACUCCUUUCAUUGGAGACACUUUCAGCAAUACCCAAUCUCCCUCCUGAAACUCUAACAGUUUCCUGCGAAUGUCUGCAUAACUUUUCUGUCUGCUCUGUGCUGUUCUGAUUCUCUCUCUGAUCACAGGCACGUUCUACUGGUAAUUUCUACUAACUCUGGCCCUGCAAGAGCCUUCUCUCCUACCUCUUCCCAACAAACAGGUGAUCUGCACUUCCUCCCAUAUAAUGCUUCAUAAGGAGCCAUCCCGAUGCUAGCAUGAUGACUGUUAUUGUAGGCAAACUCCACCAGAGGUAGAUGCUGCCUCCAAGAACCGCCAAAGUCUAACACACACAUUCUGAGCAUAUCCUCUAUGGUCUGGAUGGUCCUUUCUAACUGCCCAUCAGUCUGUGGGUGGAAAGCAGUACUAAAAUCUAAUCUCGUGCCCAUUGCACUCUGCAGACUUCGCCAAAAUCUGGAGGUGAACUGAGGUCCUCUGUCUGAAACUAUAGACACUGGGACUCCAUGUAAUCGCACUAUCUCAUCCAGAUAAACUUGUUCCAACUUAUCCACAGAAUAGUUACUCCUAACUGGAAUGAAAUGAGCAGAUUUCGUGAGUCUGUCCACAAUCACCCAUAUAGAGUCUAUCCUAUUGGACACUGCUGGUAAGCCCACUACAAAAUCCAUAGCUAUAUUUUCCCAUUUCCAUUCUAGAAUCGGCAGUGGGUUAAGCAUUCCAGCCGGCUUCUAAUGUUCUAAUUUCACCCGCUGACAUAUCUCACAGGCUGUCACAAACUGCGCCAUUUCCUUCUUCAUGGCUGGCCACCAAUACACCCUUUUCAGAUCCUGAUACAUCUUGGUGGCUCCUGGGUGAACACUAUACCUCGCAUUAUGAGCUUCCCUCAUAAUGUCUUCCUUCAGACUGCUACUAUCUGGUACACAAAGUCGACUCCCAUAGCGAAGGAUCCCUUGGCUAUUAAAUCUGAACUCUGCACUGUUGCCUGACUGAACAGUCCUGGCAAUUUUCAUCAACUCAGGGUCCUCAUGCUGUUUCUGAGCUAUCUGCUCCAGAAAUACUGGUGUCAUUCUCAUCUGUGCUAUCAACGCACCUGUACCAGACAACUCUAGCUGUAACCCCUCCUCGAUGAGCUUGUAAAGCUCCAUCACUACUGGUCUCCGCUCUGCUGCUAUAUGAGAUAAACUGCCUAGUGACUUUCGGCUUAGGGCGUCUGCCACAACAUUCGCCUUACCCGGAUGAUACUGGAUCUUACAAUCAUAAUCACUGAGCAAUUCUACCCAUCUUCUCUGCCUCAAAUUCAACUCUCUCUGGCUUAAGAUGUACUGUAAACUCUUGUGAUCAGUGAAAAUCUCGCAUUUAACCCCAUAGAGGUAAUGCCUCCACAUCUUGAGUGCAAAGAUAACUGCUGCCAUCUCUAGGUCAUGGGUGGGGUAAUUAAACUCGUGCUUCUUCAACUGUCUAGAAGCAUAAGCAAUCACCCUAUCCUGCUGCAUCAAAACACAACCCAAUCCCACUCGAGACACAUCACAGAACACUGAGAAAUCCUCAUUACUAACAGGCAGAGCUAGCACUGGUGCUGAUGUCAAUCUCCUCUUGAGCUCCUCAAAGCUCUCUUCGCACUGGUCUGACCAGAUAAACUUCUGGUUCUUUUGAGUCAGUUUGAUCAUAGGAGCUGCUAUCUUCGAGAAGUCCUGUACGAACCUCCUGUAGUAACCUGCCAGUCCUAGAAAGCUUUUAAUCUCAGUCACUGUAGUGGGUCUGGGCCAGUUAGCUACAGCCUCUAUCUUCUUGGGAUCUACCUCAAUCCCCUCAGCUGAUACUACAUGUCCCAAGAAAGAAAUGCUCCUCAACCAAAAUUCACACUUCGAGAACUUGGCAUAUAAACCAUGCUCUUUCAGUGUCUGCAGAACUAUCCUCAGAUGCUGGGCAUGCUCCUCUGCAUCUCUGGAAUACACUAAGAUGUCAUCGAUAAAGACAAUCACAAAGUGAUCCAGAUACUCGCUGAAAACUCUGUUCAUGAGAUCUAUGAAUGCUGCAGGGGCGUUAGUCAACCCGAACGGCAUCACUAAGAACUCAUAAUGCCCAUAUCUGGUCCUGAAAGCUGUCUUAGGCACAUCUGCCUCUCUGACUCUCAACUGAUGAUACCCGGAUCUCAGAUCUAUUUUAGAGAAACAACCUGCUCCAGCUAGCUGGUCAAAUAGAUCAUCAAUCCUAGGCAAAGGAUAUCUAUUCUUAGUAGUGACCUUGUUUAACUGUCGUAGUCAAUACAAAGUCUGAGGGAUCCAUCCUUCUUUCUGACAAAGAGCACUGGAGCACCCCAAGGUGAGGUACUAGGGCGGAUGAAACCCUUAUCUACCAAGUCCUGUAACUGCUCUUUCAACUCUUUUAACUCUGCUGGUGCCAUCCUGUAGGGAGGAAUUGAGAUAGGUCUGGUACCAGGCAACAAUUCAAUUUCAAACUCUAUCUCCCUACCAGGCGGUAGUCCUGAUAAAUCGUUUGGAAACACGUCUGGAAACUCUCGGACUACUGGUAUCGAAGCUGGUUCCCUAACCUGACUGUCUAGCUCCCUCACAUGAGCUAGAAACCCCUGACAACCCCUCCUAAGCAAACGACGAGCCUGAAGAGCUGAAAUCAGACCUUUGGGUGUACCUCUCCUAUCUCCUCUGAAGACACACUCUGACCCAUCCUAGUCUCUGAAACUAACUACCUUGUCUCUACAGUCCAAAGUAGCACCAUAUGUAGAUAGCCAAUCCAUCCCUAGAAUGACGUCAAAAUCUGUCAUGUCUAGAACCACAAGGUCAGCUGAAAGGCAUCUACCCUCUAUAAACACUGGACUGAAAUGACAGACUGACACUGCCACUGAUGGGUCGCAUUUGGGUCCACUGACCCAGAGAGGAUACUCUAACUUAGAACUUACCAAACCCAAUCUCUCUAUGGCUCUCGAAGUAAUAAAGGAAUGAGAAGUACCGGGGUCCAUUAAAGCAUACACAUCUGAACACCCAAUGAUGAGAUUACCUGACACCACUGUGUUCGAUGUAUUAGCCUCCUCCUGAGUCACAGUGAAAAUCCGUGCUGGGGCUACAGGAUUUCCACCUCGGGAACCUGCUGCUGAAGUAGAGGCUGCCCCUCUUCCUCUACCUCUGCCACUACUUUGAGGCAUGGCUGGAGCUGCUGGCUGCCCUACUGGCUGUACAACACUGCCUAAACUCAUCUGCUGGGAAGGUGCCACAAAAGUCACCUGGGGACACUCUCGAGCAAAAUGCCCUACCUGUCCACAUCUAAAACAGGCUGAAGAUCCCAACUGACAAGCUCCUCUGUGUGGUCUCCCACAUCUCCUACAUACUGGACUAGCUGUGCCAGAACUUGAGCCACUACCCAUUCCCAGACCAGACUUGACUCUGCUCCAGAACUUAUUCUUUGUUCCUUUUGCCUUUUGCCAUCUUUUGCUACCUGAAGUGCCUGAACUGAGGGCCUUAGAACCCGAAGCCUGUGCCUUUGACUGUUUCUGAAUAUUGGCACUAGCUUCCAUUUCCUGACUGCAUCUACUAUAGAGUGAAAACUCUCCUUUUCUGCUGGAAGAAUCAAGGAAGAAUACCUGGGAUGAAGUCUCAUGGUAUAUCUUCUUGCAUUCUUCUGAUCAGUAUCAUAGGCCUGACCCACGUACUGAAGCAAAUCCAGGAACUUAUCCGUAAACUCAUCAACACUCAUUUCAUCUGUUUGUCGCAACUGUUCAAACUCUAUUAUCUUCAUCUCCCUGGAGCUAUCAGGAAAAGCCCACCCUGCAAACUCAUUAGCGAACUCUCCCCACGACAUACUAUUCAUUCUGGGCUCUAUAUAAUUCUUGAACCAUUUCCGAGCCUUCUUACACUUUAGUGUAAAUCCCGCCAUCUCAAUGGCUCUGCUAUCAUCUGCACCCAACUCGUCAGUGAUCAUCUUCACAGUUCUCAGGUACUCAAAUGGAUCAUCUCCUGUAUUGAACUUAGGUGCAUCCAAUUUCAGGUACUCAGUCAUUUUCACCUUACUUCCAGAUGAACUAGGUGGAAGUGUUUGAGCAACAGGGACUACUGGUUCUGUUUGUGGUGGUGGGGGCACUGGUUCAUUUAGUUCUGUGCGAACCUCCUGUAGUAACCUGCCAGUCCCAGAAAGCUUUUAAUCUCAGUCACUGUAGUGGGUCUGGGCUAGUUAGCUACAGCCUCUAUCUUCUUGGGAUCUACCUCAAUCCCCUCAGCUGAUACUACAUGUCCCAAGAAAGAAAUGCUCCUCAACCAAAACUCACACUUAGAGAACUUGGCGUAUAAACCAUGCUCUCUCAGUGUCUGCAGAACUAUCCUCAGAUGCUGGGCAUGCUCCUCUGCAUCUCUGGAAUACACUAAGAUGUCAUCAAUAAAGACAAUCACAAAGUGAUCCAGAUACUCGCUGAAAACUCUGUUCAUGAGAUCCAUGAAUGCUGCAGGGGCGUUAGUCAACCCGAACGGCAUCACUAAAAACUCAUAAUGCCCAUAUCUGGUCCUGAACGCUGUCUUAGGCACAUCUGCCUCUCUGACUCUCAACUGAUGAUACCCGGAUCACAGAUCUAUUUUAGAGAAACAACCUGCUCCAGCUAGCUGGUCAAAUAGAUCAUCAAUCCUAGGCAGAGGAUAUCUAUUCUUGGUAGUGACCUUGUUCAACUGUCUGUAGUCAAUACAAAGUCUGAGGGAUCCAUCCUUCUUCCUGACAAAGAGCACUGGAGCACCCCAAGGUGAGGUACUAGGGCGGAUGAAACCCUUAUCUACCAAGUCCUGCAACUGUUCUUUCAACUCCUUCAGCUCUGCUGGUGCCAUCCUGUAGGGAGGAAUAGAGAUAGGUCUGGUACCAGGCAACAAUUCAAUUUCAAACUCUAUCUCCCUACCAGGUGGUAGUCCUGACAAGUCGUCUGGGAACAUGUAACGACCCCAAAACAGACCGUCACCGGCGCUAGGAUUCAGGUCGGCUUAAGGCCGCCGGAACCUGUAGCAAGCCUACUAUACUCUUUGUGUACCUGUAAAUCUCAUACAUGAUCAUACAUUUUCUGUGAAAAUAAAAUCUCUUUUCUGAACCAUGGCUCAACCUGUGCAUGCACUAUCACUAUACUCUGUACUCUGUUCCCCUGACUAGAGCUUGCUCUAGAUGGGUUAUCUCAUACCUGUUAAGCCUGGUUUUUCACAUACUCUGUAAAAUAUAUACAUAUACAGAUCAUGUACAUAACAAAAGAUUUACAACAUAGACAUCACUAAGUCAAGCAUAAGUCUAACUUUAAACACAACUGGUACAUCUCUUUAAUAUUACAUGUCCAUUCUAAGCUAUUACAUUACUCUUCUCUCUUCUGUACUCUUCUGGACUUCCCCUGUACACUGUACACUGAACCUGCAAGACUGGGGUUAAGGGAGUGGGAUGAGCUCUAUAGCCCAGUGAGUAAAACAAUAAAAUAAGUCAUUAAAAUAUGAUCUUAUGAAAUGCGUCAUAUCACAGACAAUCCACAUCAAGGGUAAACCCGUCACCACAUAGUUCCAGUAACUGAUCCGUGCCAGGCCGUAGACUGGGGUCCUGGUCUUCCUGUACUGUAUAUGUAUAUGUGUAUAUAACACCUGUACUUACCAUUUGCCAGGCAUAGACCGAAAACCUGGUCUUUACUGUACCUGCCAGGCCGUAGAAUGGGGUCCUGGACUUCCUAUACCUGCCAGGCCGUAGAAUGGGGUCCUGGACUUCCUAUACCUGCCAGGCCGUAGAAUGGGGUCCUGGACUUCCUGUCUAGAACUACUGGAUCAUUCAGCAUUUACCCACACCAACAAUAUAGCUAUGCAAUGCAACAUCUUUGUGAAUUCUAAUGCAAUCAACCUAUUGCAUAAACAUGAUGCAUGAAAGAUGCUAAAAGCAGUUAAUGUCUCAAUUAAAACGAGUAAUAAGUUUAGUUCCACUCACCUCUGGCUGUCUGGACUGACUCUGCAGGUUCAGUAAACUCUGGAGCAGUACUCACUGCUGCUCUCUUUGGUUCCUCUGGUCUGUGUAAGCACAGAAAGACUCAAAUGAGGGACCAAACUAGCUUAAGAAUAACUCUAUUAAACUCCCCAAGAAUCCCCUUAAUCUCACUCUAAAACUCAUGCAGAGCAUGCAAAAGAAAAGUUGGACAGGACACUUUCGGCGGCAGGUUCGGUGGCCGAAAGUCCUCUCCAGAGACGAAACUCAUGCACCUUCGGCGGUCGAAUCUCAACUUUGGGCGGCCGAACCCUUUCGGGGGCAAGUUUCGGGGGCUUAAAGGCACUCCAGAGACGAAAGUCUCUAACCUUCGGCGGCCGAACUCCCCUCAAGAGCCGAAAGUCCAAAAGCUCGGGGGCAAGCUUGGGCAGCCGAAGUCACCUCCUCUGACCUCCUCAGGGGUUCGGCGGCCGAAUGUACCUUCGGCGGCCGAACCUGAGUUCAUCAGCAGGACAGAAACUUGCCCUGCCUCUCGCCAAUUGCACCAAACUCCACCAAACACAAACACCACACUUCCUCAACUUGCAUACACCUAAGUAUAUGCUCAAAGGGGUCAAAGACUACCUAAAAACCCCAACAACACAAAUCAUAUAACACAAAAACAAGCCUUUCUCACAAAAUCAUAAAAAACUCUUCUUUUAACCUAUUUAUGCAACUCUCUCCAUAAACCCCAUAAAUCUUCCAUAAAACAUGAAAACAAGCUCAGGAUCUUCACUUACCUCUUGAAAUCAAGUAGAUGAAUGAUCCUAACGUGGAGUUUUGAAGCAACUCUCCUUCAAACUCUCCAUAAUUCACAACUUUGUAUUUAAAGCUCAAAAACUUCAAAAUAACAUAAAACUCAAUCAAAUCUUUGCAUGAUUUAAUGAAAACAUGAAGAAAACUUUAAAAAGGACAGGGUUUCACCUUAGCAAGUCGAAGAAACGGUGAUCUUAUCAUUUCAACCGACUGAGGGCCAUUUUAUAGGUGGCAGGACAGACCACCUUCGGCGGCCAAACGUGAAACCGAAAGCCAUGCAUGUUCGGCGGCCGAAAGUCACCUUCGGCGGCUGAACCUAGCUUUUCUGCCUUGGUUCAUUUCUUCCAAAAACUCAUGACAUUUUCACUUUAAAACUUUAAAACAUUCCAUAGUACUUUAGAAAAACAUAAAUCCUACCCUGCUAGAGGAUUUCGACAUCCCGGAUUCCACCGGACGACAGGAAUUCCGGUGCCGGACUCUAGCCGGGUAUUACAGAACAUGUCCGGAAACUCUCGAACUACUGGUAUCGAAGCUGGUUCCCUAACCUAACUGUCUAGCUCGCUCACAUGAGCUAAAAACCCCUAACAACCCCUCCUAAGCAAAUGACGAGCCUGAAGGGCUGAAAUCAGACCUCUGGGUGUACCUCUCCUAUCUCCUCUGAAGACACACUCUGACCCAUCCUGGUCUCUGAGACUAACUACCUUGUCUCUACAGUCCAAAGUAGCACCAUAUGUAGAUAGCCAAUCCAUCCCUAGAAUGACGUCAAAAUCUGUUAAAUCUAGAACCAUAAGGUCAGCUGGAAGGCAUCUACCCUCUAUAAACACUGGACUGAAACGACAGACUGACACUGCCACUGAUGGGUCGCAUUUGGGUCAACUGAUCAAGAGAGGAUACUCUAACUCAGAACUGAUCAAACCCAAUCUCUCUAUGGCUCUCGAAGCAAUAAAGGAAUGAGAAGCACCGGGGUCCAUCAAAGCAUACACAUCUGAACACCCAAUGAUGAGAUUACCUGACACCACUGUGUUUGAUGUGUUAGCCUCCUCCUGAGUCACAGUGAAAAUCCGUGCUGGGGCUACAGGAUUUCCACCUCGGGAACUUGCUGCUGAAGUAGAGGCUGCCCCUCUUCCUCUACCUCUGCCACUACUCUGAGGCAUGGCUGGAGCUGCUGGCUGCCCUACUGGCUGUACAACACUGCCUGAACUCAUCUGCUGGGAAGGUGCCACAAAAGUCACCUGGGGACACUCUCGAGCAAAAUGCCCUACCUGUCCACAUCUAAAAUAGGCUGAAGAUCCCAACUGACAAGCUCCUCUGUGUGGUCUCCCACAUCUCCUACAUACUGGACUAGCUGUGGCAGAGCUUGAGCCACUACCCAUUCCCAGACCAGACUUGACUCUGCUCCAGAACUUAUUCUUUGUUCCUUUUGCCUUUUCCCAUCUUUUGCUGCCUGAGGUUGCUGCAUUGGGGGCCUUAGAACUCGAAGCCUGUGCCUUUGACUGUUUCUGAAUAUUGGCACUAGCUUCCAUCUUCCUGGCUGCGUCCACUAUAGAGUGAAAACUCUCCUUUUCUGCUGGAAGGAUCAAGGAAGAAUACCUGGGAUGAAGUCUCAUGGUAUAUCUUCUUGCCUUCUUCUGAUCAGUAUCAUAGGCCUGACCCACGUACUAAAGCAAAUCCAGGAACUUAUCUGUAAACUCAUCAACGCUCAUUUCAUCUAUUUGUCUCAGCUGUUCAAACUCUAUUAUCUUCAUCUCCCUGGAGCUAUCAGGAAAAGCCCACCCUGCAAACUCAUUGGCGAACUCUCCCCACGACAUACUAUUCAUUCUGGGCUCUAUAUAGUCCUUGAACCAUUCCCGAGCCUUCUUACACUUUAGUGUAAAUCCCGCCAUCUCAAUGGCUCUGCUAUCAUCUGCACCCAACUCAUCAGUGAUCAUCUUCACAGUUCUCAGGUACUCAAAUGGAUCAUCUCCUGUAUUGAACUUAGGAGCAUCCAAUUUUAGGUACUCAGUCAUUUUCACCUUACUUCCAGAUGAACUAGGUGGAAGUGUUUGAGCAACAGGGGCUACUGGUUCUGUUUGUGGUGGUGGGGGCACUGGUUCAUUUAGUUCUGGGUGUGCUGCACUUGGAUGGAUAGGGGAGGGUGGAUACAUAGAAUAUGGUGGGUAAUAGUGAGGAUAUGGCAUAUAUGGCAUGUAUGUAGGAUAUGGUCAAAACGAGAGUACUCCGACAUACCCUCCAUCGGAUACUCUGGAUCCUGGGAAACAGCUGGAUAAUCAAAACCUGAGGCCUAAACGCCUCUCUGGGAUUCUCCCAUACCUUCAUCCAUAGACGGAUCAGUCUCCAUGGCCUCCCUCACUUCCUCUGAUCUACCUCCUCUAACUAUCCCUCUUCUGCUCUCGUCUACAGACCUUCUAGGGUCUAUUGACAUGCCUUCCCUGCUAGAUCUUUGUGACCUUGCCCUCGGCAAUGCAGGAGGACGAGCAGCUAAUCUCUCACUAUCUGAUGGGACUCUAGUCAAUCGAGCUGAUCGACGAGUUCCUCGCAUUUUAACUCUGGAAACAACACAUAACAUAGCAUAUCAACAUAUAAACAUAUAUCUCAAUCAUAAUGCAUAUGCAUAUGCAUUUCAUGGCAUCAAAAAAAUAGGACUCAACAUCCUAUCCUAGUGGACAUGAUUUCCUAUUGUGCUUGACCAACUAUAACUUCUAUGAGCCCGACGCUCUCUCUAUAGGUCCGAUCAUUUGAACCUAGGGCUCUGAUACCAAUCUGUAACGACCCCAAAACGGACCGUCACCGGCGCUAGGAUUCAGGUCGGCUUAAGGCCGCCGGAACCCGUAGCAAGCCUACUAUCCUCUCUGUGUACCUGUAAAUCUCAUACAUGAUCAUACAUUUUCUGUGAAAAUAAAAACUCUUUUUCUCUGUACUAAGGCUUAACCUGUGCAUGCACUAUCUCUGUACUCUGUACUCUGUACCUCUGACUAGAGCUUGCUCUAGAUGGGUUGUUUCAUACCUGUUAAGCCUGGUUUUUCACAUACUCUGUAAAACAUAUACAAACAUAGAUCAUGUACAUAACAAAAGAUUUACAACACAAACAUCACUAAGUCAAGCACAAGUCUAACUUUAAACACAACUGGUACAUCUCUUUAAUAUUAUAUGUCCACUCUAAGUAUUACAUAACUCUUCUCUCUUCUGUACUCUUAUGGACUUCCCCUGUACACUGUACACUGAACCUGCAAGACUGGGGUUAAGGGAGUGGGAUGAGCUCUAUAGCCCAGUGAGUAGAACAAUAAAAUAAGUCAUUAAAAUAUGUUCUUAAGAAAUGCGUCAUAUCACAGACAAUCCACAUCAAGGGUAAACCCGUCACCACAUAGUCCCAGUAACUGAUCCGUGCCAGGCCGUAGACUGGGGUCCUGGUCUUCCAGUACUGUAUAUAUAUAUGUGUAUAUAACACCUGUACUUACCAUUUGCCAGGCAUAGACCGGAAACCUGGUCUUACUAUACCUGCCAAGCCGUAGAAUGGGGUCCUGGACUUCCUAUACCUGCCAGGCCGUAGAAUGGGGUCCUGGACUUCCUGUCUGGAACUACUGGAUCAUUCAGCAUUUACCCACACCAACAAAUAGGUAUGCAAUGCAACAUCUUUGUGAAUUCUAAUGCAAUCAACCUAUUGCAUAUUCAUCAUGCAUGAAAGAUGCUAAAAGCAGUUAAUGUCUCAAUUAAAAUGAGUAAUAAGUUUAGUUCCACUCACCUCUGGCUGUCUGGACUGACUCUGCAGGUUCUGUAAUCUCUGGAGCAGUACUUACUACUGCUUUCUCUGGUUCCUCUGGUCUGUGUAAGCACAGAAAGACUCAGAUGAGGGACCAAACUAGAUUAAGAAUAACUCUAUUAAACUCCCCAAGAAUCCCCUUAAUCUCACUCUAAAACUCAUGCAAAGCAUGCAAAAGAAAAGCUGGACAGGACACUUUCGGCAGCAGGUUCGGCGGCCGAAAGUCCUCUCCAGAGACGAAACUCAUGCACCUUCGGCGGCCAAAUCUCAACUUUCGGCGGCCGAACCCUUUCGGGGGCAAGUUUCGGGGGCUGAAAGGCACUCCAGAGAUGAAAGUCUCUAACCUUCGGCGGCACAUUCGGCGGCCGAACUCCCCUCAAGAGCCGAAAGUCCAAAAGCUCGAGGGUAAGCUUAGGCAGCCGAAGUCACCUCCUCUCACCUACUCAGGGGUUCGGCGGCCGAAUGUACCUUCGACAGCCGAACCUGAGUUCAUCAGCAGGGCAGAAACUUGCCCUGCCUCUCGCCAAAUGCACCAAACUCCACCAAACACAAACACCACACUUCCUCAACUUGCAUACACCUAAGUAUAUGCUCAAAGGGGUCAAAGACUACCUAAAAACCCCAACAACACAAAUCACAUAACACACAAACAAGCCUUUCUCACAAAAUCAUCAAAAACUCUUCUUUUAACCUAUUCAUGCAACUCUCUCCAUAAACCCCAUAAAUCUUCCAUAAAACAUGAAAACAAGCUCAGGAUCUUCACUUACCUCUUGAAAUCAAGUAGAUGAAUGAUCCUAACGUGGAGUUUUGAAGCAACUCUCCUUCAAACUCUCCAAAAUUCACAACUUUGUAUUUAAAGCUCAAAACUUCAAAAUAACAUAAAACUCAAUCAAAUCUUUGCAUGAUUUAAUGAAAACAUGAAGAAAACUCUAAAAAGGACAGGGUUUCACCUUAGCAAGUCAAAGAAAUGGUGAUCUUAUCGUUUCAACCGACUGAGGGCCGUUUUAUAGGUGGCUGGCCAGACCACCUUCGGUGGCCAAACGUGAAACCGAAAGCCAUGCAUGUUCGGCGGCCGAACCUCACCUUCGGCGGCCGAACCUGGCUUUUCUGCCUUGGUUCAUUUCUUCCAAAAACUCAUGACAUUUUCACUUUAAAACUUUAAAACAUUCCAUAGUACUUUAGAAAAACAUAAAUCCUACCCUUCUAGAAGAUUCCGACAUCCCGAAUUCCACCAAACGACAUAAAUUCCGGUGCCGGACUCUAACCGGGUACUACACUCUCAUGCACAUUUAUGCCUCCCAAACCUUCCAAACUCAUACACAACACUCUCAAACAUGCAUAAACAUGCAAACGAGCAUAUAGGUGUAAUACCCGGCUAGAAUUCGGCCUCGGAAUUCCUACAGUCCGGUGGAAUCUCGGAUGUCGAGACCCUCUAGAAGGGUAAUAGAACUGUUUUCUAAAGUGUUUUAGUAUGUUUUAAUCUUUUAAGGGUAAAGAAAGUGAGUUUUUGAAAGAAAAGCACUAAGGAAGAAAAGCUAGGUUCGGCCGCCGAAAGUGAUGUUCGGCCGCCGAACAUGCAUGGCUUUGGAAUCACGUUUGGCCGCCGAAGGUGGUCUGGCCAGCCACCUAUAAAAGGCCAUAUGUCGGUCAAUGGAUAAGAUUUUUCUUUCCAUCUCCAUGGACAGAGGUGAGACCAUGAUCUUCCUUGGGUGAUCUUCAUGUUUUCUCAAAUCUUUCAAAGUUUUGACAAGUUUUUAUGUUGUUUUGAAGCUUUUGGGCAAAAGACUAAAGUUUUGAAGAUUGGAGACUUUGAGAGCGAGUUUCUCCAUAUCUCCACAUUAGGAUCACCUAUCCUCUCGUUUUCAAGAGGUAAGUGAAGAUCCUUAACUUCUUUUCAUGUUUUAUGGAAGUUUUAUAGAGUUUUAUGGGUAGAGAUGCAUGAUUAGGUUAAGUGGGGUUUUUGGUUGAUUGUUGGUGAUAACAUGUUUAUGUGUUGAGUUGUGAUGUUUGAUGGGAUUUUAAGUUAGUUUUGGACCCCUUUGUGCAUGUACUUGAGUAUAUACUUGUUGUUGAGCUGUUGGUUGCAUGUUUGAGUGAAGUUGGGAGAGGUUUGCAUGAAGCAGAGCAUGGUUCUGCCUUCCUGGAGAACCCAGUUUCGGCCGCCGAAGGAAGGUUCGGCCGACGAACAUGCUAAGGAGGUGGUUUCAGCUGCCUAAGCUCACCCCUAAAAGUUUGGACUUUCGGCUCUGGAGUAGAGUUUCGGCCGCCGAAUGUGCCGCCGAAGGUUGAGACUUUCGUCUCUGGAAGGGACUUUUGGUAGCCGAAGGUGCCGCCGAAAAUGCCUGAGUUUCGACUCUGGGGGGACUUUCGGCCGCCGAACCUGUAGCCGAAAGUGCCCUAUCCAGCCUUCUUUUGCAUGUUUUCCUUGAUUGUUUUAGGAUGUUUAAGGGGGGGGUUUUUGUGGAGUUUUAUAGAGAUGUUCUUGAGUUAGUUUGGUCCCUUAUUUGAGUCCACCUGUGUAGGAACGGACCAGAGGAACCGAAGAGACCAGCAGUGACCACUGCUUCAGAGUUUUCAGGGUCAGUUCAGAGUUAGCCAGAGGUGAGUGGAACUAAACUUAAUCUUUCUAAUUGAGAAAUCAAAUGCUUUUAGCAUGUUUCAUGCACCAUGAUUACGCAAUAGGUUGAUUGCAUUAGAAUUCACUAAUAUGUGCAUUGCAUUAUUUAUUGAAUUUGCGAACGGACAUAAAGUUUGUUUCAUUAGCCCUCCCAGUAAAGUCCUGAGGAGCCCCAUUGAGGGUCGGGCACAGUAAAGUCCUGAGGAGCCCGGAGAGGGCUGGGCACAAAGUACUUUUAUACUAUUGAUUGUAUAAUAAAGUUCUGAGGAGCUCCUUCACGGGCCGGACACUGAGGGAUUUUUAAUUCAGUCCGUUCGGUAUGUGAUUACUUAUGAUGUGAUGCAUUUCAUGUGAGCAUGUUUAUUAACAUGUUUUUACUGUUCUACUCACUGGGCUAGUAUAGCUCACCCCUCUCCCUUAACCCCAGUCUUGCAGGUUCAGAGUACAGUGGGAGGUUCAGCAGAGUUCGGAAAGAGUAAAGAGUUGUGUAAUAGUAUAGUGUGGACAUGUAAUAUUGUAAAGAGAUGUUUUAGUAUUGUACUGAGUAUAGUGUUGUGCUUGACCCAUAUGUAUUGUAAUCCCUUUUGUAUACAUGGUAUUUUAUGUAAAUGUUUUUGAUGAAUAUGAAAACCAGGCUUAACAUACAGAGUUUGACCCGUCUAGAGCUUUGAUGAGCGCUCUAGUAAAGGGGUUUUCUCACAAAGUACUGAGAUAGUGCAUGCACAGGUUGAGCCUUGGUACAGAGCAGAAUUUUACAAUUUUUACAGAAAAUGUAUGACCAUGUAUGGGUUUUUACAGGUACACAGAGAGUAUAGCAGGCUUGCUAGGGGUGCCGAUGACCUUAAGUCGAUUCGGAUCCUAGCGCCGAUAGCGGUCCAAUUUUCGAGUCAUUACAGAUUGGUAUCAGAGCCCUAGGUUCAUAUGGUUGGACCUAUAGAAAGUGUCGGGGUCAUAGGGGUUAUAGUAGGGCAAGCACAAUAGGGAGAUCAUGUCCACUAGGAUAGGAUGUGGAGUCCUGUCGAUAUGAUGAUGUGAAAUGCCAUGAUUUAUGCAUGUGCAUUAUUGUUAUGUGAUGUAUGCUUGAGGGUUCAUGUGUUUCCACAUGGACCAUAUGAUGGUAAUGUGUUAUGUUAUGUGUUGUUUUCCAGAGUUAAGAUGAGAGGAACUCGUCGAUCUGCACGAUUGACUGCAGUCCCACCAGAGAGUGAGGGUACAGAUGCUCGUCCUCCUGCGUUGCCAAGGGCGAUGUCUCAGAGAUCAAGCAGGGAGGGUAUGUCAAGGGACCCUAGAAGGUCUUUUGACGAGAGCAGAGGAGGAACAGAUAGAGGAGGGAGGUCAGAUGAAGUGAGGGAGGCUAUGAAUGUUGACCAGAGAAGAGAUGAAAGCAUGGGUAUGGACAGGUCUGAAGAGGGUAUGGGAGAGUCUCAAGGAGGCGCUCAGGCCUCGGGGUUUGGUUAUCCACCCCACUAUCCACCCUUUCCAUAGGGCCCGGGGUAUCCGAUGGGAGGUACGUUGGAUUAAUCUAGUUUUACCCCAUAUCCUACCUAUAUGCCUUAUAUGCCUUAUCCUCCUUUUUACCCACCAUAUCCCAUGUAUCCAUCCACACCUUUCCAUCCAAGUUCAGCACACCCUGAUCCCAGAGAUAGAGUACCUCCUCCACCACCAGAACCAGUAGCUCCUGUUGUCCAAGCACCUCAGCCUAGCUCAUCUAGGGGAAGUAAAGUGAAAAUGACAGAGUAUCCAAUGAGUUAGGAGCUGAUGAUAGCAGAGCCAUUGAGAUGGCGGGGUUCACACUGAGAUGCAAGAAAGCUCGAGAGUGGUUCAAGAAUUAUGUGGACCCCAUGUUGGACAGCAUGUGAUGGGUAGAGUUCGCCAAUGAAUUUGUAGGGUGGGCUUUUCCUGACAGUUCCAGGGAGAAGAAAGUUAUAGAAUUUGAACAGCUGAGACAGAUUGAAGAGAUGAGUGUUGAUGAAUACACUGAUAAGUUCCUGGAAUUGCUAUAGUAUGUGGGUCAGGCUUAUGACACUGACCAGAAGAAGGCAAGGAGGUAUACUAUGAGACUUCAUCAUAUGUAUUCCUUCUUGAUUCUUCCAGCAGAGAAAGAGAGUUUCCACUCUAUAGUGGAUGCAGCCAGGAAGAUGGAGGCAAGUGCCAUCAUUCAGGGAACGGUAAAAUAGCAAGUGGCACAGUCUUCGGGUUCUAAGACCCCCAGUGCAGCAGCUUCUGGCAGCAAAAAGGGAGAAAAGUUUAAGUCCAAGAAGGGCAAGUUCUGGAGCAAGAUUAAGUCUGGUCUGGGAAUGGGUAGUGGCUCAAGCUCUAGCACAGGCAGUUCAGUUUGUAUGAGAUGUGGAAGGCCGCACAGAAGAGUUUGUCGGUUGGGAUCUACAGCCUGCUUUAAGUGUGGGGGCAGGAGGGGCAUUUUGCACGGGAGUGUCCUGGAGGAGCCUUUAUGGCACCAUCCCAGCAGAUGACCUCAGGUAGUGCGGUGCAGCCAGCAGCUCCAGCCAUAACUCAGAGCAGUGGAGAGGCAGAGGGAGAGGGACAACCUCUUCUUCAGGGGUAGGUUCCCGAGGUGAAGGUCCAUCAGCCCUAGCACGGAUCUUCACUAUGACACAGCAGGAGGCAGACACGUCGAACAUAGUGGUGUCAGGUAAUCUCAUCAUUAGGUGUUCUGAGGUGUAUGCUUUGAUGGACCCCGGUGCUUCUCACUCUUUUAUUGCUUCGAGAGCCGUGGAGAGAUUGGGUCUGAUAGUCUCUAGGUUAGAGUGUCCUCUCUGGGUCAGUGGACCCAAAUGUGACCCAUCAUUGGCAGAGUGAGUCUGUCGUUUCAGUCCAGUGUUCAUAGAUAGUAGAUGCCUUCCAGCUGACCUUGUGGUUCUAGAUUUGACGGAUUUUGAUGUCAUUCUAGGGAUGGAUUGGCUAUCUACACAUGGUGCUACCUUGAACUGCAGAGACAAGGUAGUCAGUUUCAGAGACCAGGAUGGGUCAUAGUGUGUCUUCAGAGGAGACAGGAGGGGUACACCUAGGGGUUUGAUAUCAACCCUUCAGGCUCGUAGAUUGCUCAGGAGGGGUUGUCAGGGGUUUCUAGCUCAUGUGAGAGAGCUAGAUAGUCAGGUUAGGGAACUAGCCUCAGUACUAGUAGUUAGAGAAUUUCCAGACGUCUUCCCAGACGAGCUUCCAGGACUACCACCUGAUAGGGAGAUAGAGUUUGAAAUAGAAUUGAUGCCUGGUACCAGACCGAUCUCUAUCCCUCCCUAUAGGAUGACACCAGCAGAGUUAAGAGAGCUGAAAGAACAGUUACAAGAGUUGGUAGACAAAGGUUUCAUCCGCCCUAGUACCUCACCUUGGGGUGCUCCAGUGCUUUUUGUCAGAAAGAAGGAUGGAUCCCUCAGACUUUGUAUCGACUACAGACAGUUGAACAAGGUCACUACCAAGAAUAAGUAUCCCCUGCCUAGGAUCGAUGAUCUAUUUGACCAGCUAGCUAGAGCAGGUUGUUUCUCUAAGAUAGAUCUGAGGUCCGAGUAGCACCAGCUGAGAGUCAGAGAAGAGGAUGUGCCAAAGACAGCUUUCAGGACCAGAUAUGGGCAUUAUGAGUUCUUAGUAAUGCCGUUCGGGUUGACUAAUGCCCCUGCAGCUUUCAGGACCAGAUAUGGACCUCAUAAAUAGAGUUUUCAAAUAAUAUCUGGAUCACUUCAUUAUUGUCUUCAUUGAUGAUAUCUUAGUGUACUCCAGAAAUGCAGAGGAGCAUGCCCAUCUUCUGAGGACAGUUUUGCAGACCCUGAGAGAGCAUGGCUUGUAUGCCAAGUUCUCUAAGUGUGAGUUUUGGUUGAGGAGCAUUUCAUUCUUAGGGCAUGUAGUAUCAGCAGAGGGAAUAGAAGUGAACCCCAAGAAGAUAGAAGCUGUAGCUAACUGGCCCAGAUCCACUACAGUUACAGAGAUUAAAAGCUUUUUGGGUUUGGCAGGUUACUACAGGAGGUUCAUUCAGGACUUCUCAAAGAUUGCAGCUCCUAUAACCAGAUUGACUAAGAAGAACCAGAAGUUUGACUGGUCUGAUCAGUGCGAAGAGAGUUUCGAAGAGCUAAAGAAGAGGUUAACGUCAACACCGGUGUUAGCUCUGCCUACCAGUAAUGAAGACUUCACAGUGUUCUGUGAUGCAUCCCGAGUGGGACUGGGUUGUGUUUUGAUGCAUAAUGACAGGGUGAUUGCUUAUGCUUCUAGACAGCUGAAGAAGCAUGAGUUGAAUUACCCCACAAUGACCUAGAGAUGGUAGCAGUUAUCUUUGCACUCAAGAUGUGGAGGCAUUACCUUUAUGGGGUUAAAUGCGAGAUCUUCACAAAUCAUAAGAGUUUACAGUACAUCUUGAGUCAGAGAGAGCUGAAUUUGAGGCAGAGAAGGUGGGUAGAACUGCUCAGUGACUAUGAUUGCAGAAUUCAGUACCAUCCGGGUAAGGCGAAUGUUGUGGCAGACGCCCUAAGCCGAAAAUCACUUGGCAGUUUGUCCCAUAUAGCAGCAGAGAGAAGACUAGUGGUGAUGGAAUUUUACAAGCUCAUCGAUGAAGGGCUACAGCUAGAGUUGUCUGGUACAGGAGCUUUGAUAGCACAUAUGUGAGUGACACCCAUGUUUCUGGAGCAGGUGGCUUAGAAACUGCAUGAGGACCCUGAGUUAGUGAAAAUUGCCAGGACUGUUCAGUCAGGCAAUAGUGCAGAGUUCAGAUUUGAUAGCAAAGGGAUCCUCCGCUAUGGGAAUUGACUAUGUGUACCAGAUGACAUAAGUCUGAAAGGAGACAUUAUGAGAGAAGCUCAUAAUGCCAAGUACAGUGUUCACCCUGGAGCCACCAAGAUGUAUCAGGAUCUGAAAAGAGUGUAUUGGUGGCCAGCUAUGAAGAAAGAAGUGGCACAGUUUGUGUCCGCCUGUGAGGUUUGUCAGAGGGUGAAACUGGAACAUCAAAAGCCGGCUGGAAUGCUUAACCCACUACUGAUUCCAGAGUGGAAAUGGGAGAACAUAGCUAUGGAUUUUGUGGUGGGGUUACCGGCAGUGUCCAACAGACUAGACUCCAUAUGGGUGGUUGUGGACAGACUGACUAAAUCUGCUCACUUCAUCCCUGUCAGAAGUGACUAUUCUGUGGACAAGUUGGCACAGGUUUAUGUGGAAGAGAUAGUAAGGUUGCAUGGGGUUCCAGUGUCUAUAGUGUCAGAUAGAGGACCCCAGUUCACCUCCAGGUUUUGGCGGAGUCUGCAAAGUGCUAUGGGCAUAAGGUUGGAUUUUAGCACUGCUUUCCAUCCACAGACUGACGGACAGUCAGAGAGGACCAUCCAGACUAUAGAAGAUAUGCUCAGGAUGUGUGUGUUAGAUUUUGGCAGUUCUUGGAGGCAGCACCUACCUUUGGUGGAGUUUGCCUACAAUAACAGCCAUCAUGCUAGCAUCGGGAUGGCUCCUUAUGAAGCCUUGCAUGGGAGGAAGUGCAGAUCACCUGUUUGCUGGGAAGAAGUAGGAGAGAAGGCUCUUGCAGGGCCUGAGUUAGUAGAGAUCACCAGCAGGGUAGUGCCCAUUAUCAGAGAGAGAAUCAGAACUGCUGUGAGCAGGCAGAAAAGCUAUGCAAAUGUCCGCAGGAAGCAGAUAGAGUUUCAGGAGGGUGAUAUGAUAUUGCUGAAGGUGUCUCCAAUGAAAGGAGUGGUUCGGUUUGGGAAGAAAGGUAAACUAGCUCCACGGUAUAUUGGACCCUUUGAGAUCUUGCAGAAGAUCGGGAAUGUAUCGUACAAGCUGGAUUUACCUGCUUCUAUGGAAAGAAUCCAUUCGGUUUUCCACGUUUCCAUGUUACGGAAGUUCGUGUCAGAUCCGAGUAAGGUUCUUAAUGAGCUUGAUGUAGAGAUCCUUGGAGAUAUCACCUAUGUGGAGCAGCUAGUGCGGAUCCCAGACACGCAGAUCAGAAAGCUGAGGAACAAGGAAAUUCCGAUGGUGAAAGUCCUUUGGAACCACCACAAUAUAGAAGAGUGCACCUGGGAGACACGGGAGUCUAUGCUCCAGCAAUAUCCAUAUCUGUUUUGAGGUUAGUUUUUCCUCCUUUUUAUGUGUUUAGUUGUUUGAGGAACAUUCGGGGAUGAAUGUUCUUAAGGGGGGAGAAUGUAAUAUCCGGCUAGAGUCCGGCCUCGGAAUUCCUACAGUCCGGUGGAAUCUCGGAUGUCGGGAUCCUCUAGAAGGGUAAUAGAACUGUUUUCUAAAGUGUUUUAGUAUGUUUUAAUGUUUUAAGGGUAAAGAAAGUGAGUUUUUGAAAGAAAAGCACCAAGGAAGAAAAGCCAGGUUCGGCUGCCAAAAGUGAUAUUCGGCCGCCGAACAUGCAUGGCUUUGGAAUCACGUUUGGCCGCCGAAGGUGGUCUGGCCAGCCACCUAUAAAGGGCCACAUGUCGGUCAAUGGAUAAGAUUUUUCUUUCCAUCUCCACGGACAGAGGUGAGACCAUGAUCUUCCUUGGGUGAUCUUCAUGUUUUCUCAAAUCUUUCAAAGUUUUGACAAGUUUUUAUGUUGUUUUGAAGCUUUUGAGCAAAAGACUAAAGUUUUGAAGCUUGGAGACUUUGAGAGCGAGUUUCUCCAUAUCUCCAUGUUAGGAUCUCCUAUCCUCUCGUUUUCAAGAGGUAAGUGAAGAUCCUUAACUUCUUUCCAUAUUUUAUGGAAGUUUUAUGGAGUUUUAUGGGUAGAGAUGCAUGAUUAGGUUAAGUGGGGUUUUUGGUUGAUUGUUGGUGAUAGCAUGUUUAUGUGUUGAGUUGUGAUGUUUGAUGGGGUUUUAAGUUAGUUUUGGACCCCUUUGUGAAUGUACUUGAGUAUAUGCUUGUUGUUGAGUUGUUGGUUGCAUGUUUGAGUGAAGUUGGGAGAGGUUUGCAUGAAGCAGAGCAGGGUUCUGCCUUUCUGGAGAACCCAGUUUCAACCGCCAAAGGAAGGUUCAGCCGCCGAACAUGCUAAGGAGGUGGUUUCGGCUGCCUAAGCUCACCUCCGAAAGUUUGGACUUUCGGCUCUGGAGUGGAGUUUUGGCCGCCGAAUGUGCCGCCUAAGGUUGAGACUUUCGUCUCUGGAAGGGACUUUCGGCAGCCGAAGGUGCCGCCGAAAAUGCCUGAGUUUCGGCUCUAGAGGGACUUUCGGCUGCCGAACCUGCCGCCGAAAGUGCCCUGUCCAGCCUUCUUUUGCAUGUUUUCCUUGAUUGUUUUAGGAUGUUUUAGGGGGAUUUUUGGGGAGCUUUAUAGAGAUGUUCUUGAGUUAGUUUGGUCCCUCAUUUAAGUCCACCUGUGUAGGAACGGACCAGAGGAACCGAAGAGACUAGCAGUGAGCACUACUUCAGAGUUUUCAGGGUGGUCAGUUCAGAGUUAGCCAUAGGUGAGUGGAACUAAACUUAAUCUUUCUAAUUGAGAAAUCAAAUGCUUUUAGCAUGUUUCAUGCACCAUGAUUACGCAAUAGGUUGAUUGCAUUAGAAUUCACUAAUAUGUGCAUUGAAUUAUUUAUUGAAUUUGCGAACGGACAUAAAGUUUGUUUCAUUAGCCCUCCCUGUAAAGUCCUGAGGAGCCCCAUUGAGGGUCGGGCACAGUAAAGUCCUGAGGAGCCCCGAGAGGGUCGAGCACAGAGUACUUUUGUACUAUUGAUUGUAUAAUAAAGUCCUGAGGAGCUCCUUCGCGGGCCGGGCACUGAGGGAUUUUUGAUUCAGUCCGUUCAGUAUGUGAUUACUUGUGAUGUGAUGCAUUUCAUGUGAGCAUGUUUAUUAACAUGUUUUUACUGUUCUACUAACUGGGCUAGUAUAGCUCACCCCUCUCCCUUAACCCCAGUCUUGCAGGUUCAGAGUACAGUGGGAGGUUCAGCAAAGUUCGGAAAGAGUAAAGAGUUGUGUAAUAGUAUAGUGUGGACAUGUAAUAUUAUAAAGAGAUGUUUUAGUAUUGUACAGAGUAUAGUGUUGUGCUUGACCCAUAUGUAUUGUAAUCCCUUUUGUAUACAUGGUAUGUUAUGUAAAUAUUUUUGAUGAAUAUGAAAACCAGGCUUAACAUACAGAGUUUGACCCAUCUAGAGCUUUGAUGAGCGCUCUAGUAAAGGGGUUUUCUCACAGAGUACUGAGAUAGUGCAUGCACAGGUUGAGUCUUGGUACAGAGUAGAGUUUUACUGUAACGACCCGAAAAUCGGACCGCUACCGGCGCUAAGAUUCAGAUCGGCAUAAGGCCACCGGGACCCGUAGCAAGCCAAACAUACAACCUGUGAACCUGUUUAAUCCCAUAAAUGAUCAGCAACAUACAUAAAAAUUUUGAACUUUUCCUUUACCAAGCUCAACCUGUGCAUGCCCAUAAACAUAUACAUAAACAUAAACAUAAACCCCACACUGGAGCUCUCAACAAACGCUCCAAUGGGGCAUCUCAUCAUACACAAGCUUGGUGGAACAUAAACAUUUUAAACAUAAAUCAUGUUUACAAAAGGGAUUACUAUACAAACUCGGUCAAGCACAAUUUCUAAACCUCAAUCUCAAAAUCAACAUUUACAUGACAUAACUAUUCAAAACUUUACAUCAUUAUACAAUUCAUCAUGUCCACAUUCUAUCUAUUACAUACAUAAGACUUCACUCAUUUUGACUUCUCUGUCUAGCCCGCACCUGCAACCCUGGGGGAUUAGGGAAAGGGGUGAGCUACUAGAGCCCAGUGAGCAGAAUAAUAAAACAGUUAAAAUCUCAUGCUCUCAUGUAAUGCAACACAUCACAACAAGUCACAUCAAGGAUGGUAUUGUCACCAAUAGUCCUCUACAUUCCAAAGUGCCGGGAAGUAGAAUGGGUCAACCGGUCUUUCAUUUAAUCAUAACAUAUCAUAACAUUCCAAUGUGCCAGGGAUGUAGAAUGGGUCAACCUGGACUUUCUCUUACAUAGUGCCAGGGACAUAGAAUGGGUCAACCUGGACUUCCAUACCGUAUCAUGCCGUAACAUCAUCAUAUCAUAUGAGGACUAAAGGAUCAUCCAAUAUCCAAUCCGCAUCAACAUCAUAAAAUGCAAUGCAACAUAUUCGUGAAUUCUAAUGCAAACAACCUAAAUCAUCACAUGGCAUUCAUGAUGCAUAAGCAUGCUCAAAACUUUAUAAUUUAUUCACUUAAAAACGUAAAGGUUUAUUCUACUCACCUCAACUAGCUCUGACAAUGACUGAAGCAGCUGACUCACUGCUGGGGUCCUCGGUUCCUCGGGUCCGAACCUACACAGGUGGACUCAAAUGAGGGACCAAGCAUACUAGAACAUGACUCUAAAAACAUCCCCCAAAACCCCCUAAAACACCUCAAAACAAUCAUGCAAAUCAUAAAAGGAAGGCUGAACAGGGCACUUUCGGAGGCAGGUUCGGCGGCCGAAAGUCCCUCCAGAGCCGAAAGUCAGGCAGGUUUGGCAGCACCUUCGGCGGCCGAAACUCCCAGACAGAGACGAAACUCAUGCAUGUUCGGCGGCCGAAACUGCCCUCCAGAGAUGAAAGUCCUCUUUCGGGGGCAGGCUUCGGCAGCCGAAAGGCUUGCCUCCCAGGCAGGUUCGGCGGCCGAAAGUCCUUCGGCUGCCGAACCUGGUUUCUGCCAAAAGGGCAGAAACUCGGCUCCUUAUGCACAUCUCACCUCUCAACCUUCCAAUCAAGCAUACCACUCAACCAAAACAUGCAUAAACAACAUACAUUGCCCAUAAAACACAUAAAACCUAACAAUGCUCAACUAACAUAAACCUACAUUUCUACCCCAUGAAUCAACUUAAAACUUACUUAAAACAUAAAAUGAGUUCAAGAUCGGCUCUUACCUCUUGAAGAUGGAGAGAGAGAGACGACCUAGACUUGGAGUUAGGAGAGAUUUAAUUCCUUGGGUCUCCAAGCUCUAAAACUUGCCCAAAUACUCAAAAUCUUCAAAACAAAGUGAAAACUAAUGAAAAUCAUGGAAGAUUUGAAGGAAGAACCUCAAGAUCGGUGAGGGACGGCGGAGAGCUCACCUUGGCCGGAAAUGGAGAGAAAAGCUCGCCCGUUUUCGGCUAAGGGACCCCUUUAUAGGUGGCUGGCAGGCCACAUUCGGGGGCCGAACGUGCCUCCGCAUGCAUGCCAUGUUUGGCGGCCGAAUAUAAGGUUCGACGGCCGAACCUGGUUUCCCUCACUUAUGCCUUCGGGGGCCUAAGGCACACCCGAAACGCCUGCAUGUUCGGCGGCCGAACUUGAGUUUCGGCGGCCGAACCUGAGUUUUCCUCCAAUGCUAUUUUCAUGCAAAAACUCAUUUUCUUUCGUGAUUUAAAACAUAAAACUCAUUAAAACAUUUUAUGAAAACAUGGUUUUACCCUUCUAGAGGUCUCCGACACCCGAGAUUCCAUCGGACGGUAGGAAUUCCGAUACCGGAGUCUAGCCGGGUAUUACAUUCUUCCCCCUUAAGAACAUUCGUCCCCGAAUGUUCACUAAACAACACAUAGCAUGGCAUACACAUAGCAUACAUACAAAACACAUAAAACUUACUUUAGAAAAGAUGGGGAUAUUGUUGGAGCAUGGACUCCCGUGUCUCCCAGGUACACUCCUCAAAAUUGUGGUGAUUCCAAAGGACUUUCACCAUCGGGAUUUCCUUGUUCCUUAGCUUUCUAAUCUGGGUGUCUAAGAUCCGUACUGGCUGCUCAACAUAGGUGAGAUCUUCUUGGAUCUCCACAUCAGGCUCACUAAGAACCUUGCCCGGAUCUGACACAAAUUUCCUCAACAUAGAAACAUGGAAAACCGGAUGGAUUCUCUCCGUUGAAGCAGGCAAGUCCAGCUUGUACGAUACAUUCCCAAUCUUUUGCAAGACCUCAAAGGGUUCGAUGUAUCGUGGAGCCAGCUUACCUUUCUUCCCGAACCGAAUCACCCCUUUCAUUGGAGACAUCUUGAGCAAUACCAAAUCCCCCUCUUGAAACUCUACUUGCCUUCUGCGGAUAUCUGCAUAACUCUUCUGUUUGCUUGCAGCAGUCUUAAUUCUCUCUCUGAUUAUGGGUACCACCCUGCUGGUGAUCUCUACUAGCUUAGGCCCUGCCAAGGCCUUUUCUCCAACCUCUUCCCUGCAAACAGGUGAUCUGCACUUCCUCCCAUACAAAGCUUCAUAUGGAGCCAUCCCGAUGCUAGCAUGAUGGCUGUUAUUGUAGGCAAACUCCACCAAAAGUAGAUGCUGCCUCCAAGAACCGCCAAAGUCCAGCACACACAUUCUGAGCAUAUCCUUUAUUGUCUGGAUGGUCCUUUCUAAUUGUCCGUCCGUCUGUGGAUGGAAAGCAGUGCUAAAAUCCAACCUGGAACCCAUGGCAUUCUGCAGACUCCGCCAAAACCUUGAGGUGAACUGGGGUCCUCUAUCGACACUAUUAAAAUAGGAACCCCAUGCAGCCUGACGAUCUCAUCAACAUACACCUGCGCCAACUUGUCCACAUAAUAGCCACUCCUGACGGGGAUGAAGUGAGCAGAUUUGGUGAGUCUGUCCAAAAUCACCCAUAUAGAGUCCAAUCUGUUGGAUGUCGCCGGUAACCCCACUACGAAGUCCAUAGCUAUAUUCUCCCAUUUCCACUCUGGAAUAGGUAGCGGGUUAAGCAUUCCAGCCGGCUUCUAAUGUUCCAGCUUCACCCUCUGACACACUUCGCAGGCUGACACAAACUGUGCCACUUCUCUCUUCAUAGCUGGCCACCAAUAAACUUUCUUCAGAUCUUGAUACAUCUUGGUGGCUCCGGGGUGAACGCUGUANNNNNNNNNNNNNNNNNNNNNNNNNNNNNNNNNNNNNNNNNNNNNNNNNNNNNNNNNNNNNNNNNNNNNNNNNNNNNNNNNNNNNNNNNNNNNNNNNNNNNNNNNNNNNNNNNNNNNNNNNNNNNNNNNNNNNNNNNNNNNNNNNNNNNNNNNNNNNNNNNNNNNNNNNNNNNNNNNNNNNNNNNNNNNNNNNNNNNNNNNNNNNNNNNNNNNNNNNNNNNNNNNNNNNNNNNNNNNNNNNNNNNNNNNNNNNNNNNNNNNNNNNNNNNNNNNNNNNNNNNNNNNNNNNNNNNNNNNNNNNNNNNNNNNNNNNNNNNNNNNNNNNNNNNNNNNNNNNNNNNNNNNNNNNNNNNNNNNNNNNNNNNNNNNNNNNNNNNNNNNNNNNNNNNNNNNNNNNNNNNNNNNNNNNNNNNNNNNNNNNNNNNNNNNNNNNNNNNNNNNNNNNNNNNNNNNNNNNNNNNNNNNNNNNNNNNNNNNNNNNNNNNNNNNNNNNNNNNNNNNNNNNNNNNNNNNNNNNNNNNNNNNNNNNNNNNNNNNNNNNNNNNNNNNNNNNNNNNNNNNNNNNNNNNNNNNNNNNNNNNNNNNNNNNNNNNNNNNNNNNNNNNNNNNNNNNNNNNNNNNNNNNNNNNNNNNNNNNNNNNNNNNNNNNNNNNNNNNNNNNNNNNNNNNNNNNNNNNNNNNNNNNNNNNNNNNNNNNNNNNNNNNNNNNNNNNNNNNNNNNNNNNNNNNNNNNNNNNNNNNNNNNNNNNNNNNNNNNNNNNNNNNNNNNNNNNNNNNNNNNNNNNNNNNNNNNNNNNNNNNNNNNNNNNNNNNNNNNNNNNNNNNNNNNNNNNNNNNNNNNNNNNNNNNNNNNNNNNNNNNNNNNNNNNNNNNNNNNNNNNNNNNNNNNNNNNNNNNNNNNNNNNNNNNNNNNNNNNNNNNNNNNNNNNNNNNNNNNNNNNNNNNNNNNNNNNNNNNNNNNNNNNNNNNNNNNNNNNNNNNNNNNNNNNNNNNNNNNNNNNNNNNNNNNAGAUGAUGGGCAUGCUCCUCUGCAUUCCUGGAAUACACUAAGAUAUCAUCUAUGAAGACAAUAACAAAGUGAUCCAGGUAUUGGCUAAACACCCUGUUCAUGAGAUCCAUGAAUGCUGCAGGGGCGUUGGUUAACCCGAACGGCAUUACAAGGAACUCAAAAUGCCCAUAUCUGGUCCUGAAAGCCGUCUUUGGCACAUUCUCUUCCCUUAUCCUCAGCUGAUGAUACCCGGACCUCAGAUCUAUUUUGGAGAAACAACCCACUCCUGCUAGCUGGUCGAAUAGAUCAUCGAUCCUUAGUAAAGGGUAUUUAUUCUUGGUAGUGACUUUGUUCAACUGCCUGUAGUCGAUACAAAGUCUGAGGGAUCCAUCCUUCUUUCUCACAAACAGAACUGGAGCACCCCAAGGUGAGGUACUCGGUUGGAUGAAACCCUUGUCUACCAGCUCUUGCAACUGCUCUUUCAAUUCUUUCAACUCAGCUAGAGCCAUCCUGUAGGGAGGAAUAGAGAUCAGUCUAGUUCCAGGCAUCAAUUCUAUCUCGAACUCUAUCUCCCUAGCAGGUGGUAAACCUGGCAACUCGUCUGGGAAGACAUCUAAAAACUCUCUGACCACUGGCAUCGAGGCGGGCUCUCUAACCUGACUGCUAAGCUCUCUCACAUGAGCCAAAAACCCCUGACAUCCCUUCCUAAGCAACCUACGAGCCUGAAGAGCUGAUAUCAGACCUCUAGGUGUACCCCUCUUGUCUCCCCUGAAGACAACCUCUAACCCAUCUUGACCUCUGAACCUGACUACCUUGUCCCUGCAGUCCAAGGUAGCACCAUGGGUAGAUAACCAGUCCAUCCCUAGAAUGACGUCAAAAUCUGUCAAGUCUAGAACCACAAGGUCGGCGGAAAGGCAUCUCCCCUCAACAAAAACUGGACUGCAUUAGCAGACUGACUCUGCCACUGAUGGAUCACACUUGGGUCCACUGACCUAGAGAGGACACUCUAACACAGAGAUCAUCAAACCCAACCUCUCGACGGCUCUCGGAGUAAUAAAAGAAUGAGAUGCACCAGGGUCCAUCAAGGCAUACACAUCUGAACAACCAAUGAUGAGAUUACCUGCCACCACGGUGUUAGAUGCAUCUGCCUCCUGUUGAGUCAUCGUGAAGAUCCGUGCUUGAGCUGAUAGACCUUCACCUCUGAAACCCGCUGAAGAAGAGGCUGACCCUCUCCCUCUGCCUCUGCCACUGGCCUGAGUCGUGGUUGGAGCUACUGGCAGCGUUACACUACCUGAAGCUGUCUGCUGGGACUGAGCCAUAGGUACUGUCCUAGGACACUCCCGAGCCAUGUGUCCCUCUUGCCCGCAUCUGAAUCAGGCUGUUGUCCCAGCCCGGCAAACUCCCUUGUGUGGCUUACCACACCUUGCACAAACUGCAUUAUCCGCACCAGAGCUUGAGCCACUCCCUAGUCCUAGACUGGACUUGAACUUGUUCCAGAACUUGUUCUUCUUGGGCUUCCUAGUGGUGCUACUCCACCUUUUGUUACCUGAAGCUGCUGCACUCAGAGAAGAAGAAGAGCCUAGGGUCUUGGAACCAGAAGGCUGUGCCACUGAUUGUUUAACUGUCCCCUGAAUGAUGGCACUGGCCUCCAUCUUCCGGGCCAUAUCCACUAUGGCAUGGAAGCUCUCCCUAUCUGCUGACUGGAUCAAGGAGGAAUAUCUGGAGUGGAGUUUCAUGAUAUACCUCCUUGACUUUUUCUGGUCUGAGUCAAGAUUUUGCCCUGCAAAUGGCAACAGCUCCAAGAAUCUGUCUGUGAACUCAUCCACACUCAUAUCAUCGGUCUGCCUCAACUGUUCAAACUCUAUCAUCUUCAAUUCCCUUGAACUGUCGGGGAAAGCCCAUCCUGCAAAUUCGUUUGCAAACUCUUCCCAAGACAUGCCGUCCACCCUCGGGUUCACAUAAUUCUUAAACCACUCUCGGGCCUUCUUGCACUUAAGUGUGAACCCAGCCAUUUGAAUGGCUCUGCUGUCAUCAGCCCCAAUCUCAUCUGUGAUCACCUUGACCCUUUCAAGAUACACAAACGGGUCAUCCCCUUUUUCAUACUGAGGAGCACCCAGCUUCAUGUAGUCGGUCAUCUUGACCUUGCUCCCACCAGAUGAGCUAGGCUUAGGUACUGGGGUUUCUGGAACUGUGGGUUCUGCUGGUGGAGGAGGAGGAACAGCAUCCCCUGGGAUAGGGUUUGCUGGAUUUGGAUGGUAGGGCGGGGGUGGAUACAUUUGGUACUGUGGGUAUGGUGGAUAGAAAGGUGGGUAUGGCAUCUGUGUGGGAUAAGGGUUAAAGCUAUGGUAAUCCGAUGUGCCUCCCAUCGAAUAUCUGGGGUUUUGUGAGAAGGGUGGGUAGUAAGGUGGCUGAACAAAUCCCGAGGCCUGAGUGCCUCCUUGGGACUCUCCCAUUCCCUCUUCUGACAUGCUAACUCCCAGACUGCCAUCCCUCCUUUGCUCCACAUCCAUAUCAUCCCCCAUGUCCUCUAACAUUCCUCCCUGAACUGUUCCCCUCACUGAUCUGCUUCUACCCAGAUCCAAAGACCUUCUAGGGUCUCUUACUGCUCUUUCUCUGUAACAGCCCGUAAACCGGACUAUUACCGGCACUAGGAUCCAGAUCGGCUUAAAGCCGUCGGGACCCGUAGUAAGCCUACUGUGAACUCUGUGUACUUGUAAAAACUCAUACAUGAUCAUACAUUUUUUGUAAAAAUGUAAAACUCUUUCUCUGUACCAAGGCUUAACCUGUGCAUGUGCUAACUCUGUACUAUAAACCCCUGCUAGAGCUCUCAUCUUUGCUCUAGGCGGGCUAAACUCAUAUCUGGCAAGCCUGGUUCUCAUGCAUAUGUACUAAAAUCAUUUUCGUAACCGGAUCAUGUAUAUACAUAAGUAUCACAACUCUUGCAAUAGUCAAGCACAAUUCUAUACACUGCACAACAUUAACUAUCUCUUUAAAAUUACAUGUCCACUCUAACUAUUACAUAUCCUUCAUUUCUUCUAUACUCAGCUAAGCUCGCUCUCUGAACUCUGAGGUCUAAAACCUGCAAAAACUGGAAUGAGGGGAGAAGGGUGAGCUAGACUAGCCCAGUGAGUAGUAAAUAAAACACGCUCUCAUGGAAUGCAUCAUAACACAACUAUCUCACAUCACUGUAUAUUAUCCGUUUUGGGUUCACGCAAGCGUCCUUCCCCAUUGAGUUCACGCAAGCGUCCUUCCUCAGGGAGUUCACGCAAGCGUCCUUCCUCCCACGGAUUUCUCUUGAUCACAUGAACAUAGAAUAAUGCAAUGCAGCAUAUUCGUGAACUAGUGCAAUCAACCUACUNNNNNNNNNNNNNNNNNNNNNNNNNNNNNNNNNNNNNNNNNNNNNNNNNNNNNNNNNNNNNNNNNNNNNNNNNNNNNNNNNNNNNNNNNNNNNNNNNNNNNNNNNNNNNNNNNNNNNNNNNNNNNNNNNNNNNNNNNNNNNNNNNNNNNNNNNNNNNNNNNNNNNNNNNNNNNNNNNNNNNNNNNNNNNNNNNNNNNNNNNNNNNNNNNNNNNNNNNNNNNNNNNNNNNNNNNNNNNNNNNNNNNNNNNNNNNNNNNNNNNNNNNNNNNNNNNNNNNNNNNNNNNNNNNNNNNNNNNNNNNNNNNNNNNNNNNNNNNNNNNNNNNNNNNNNNNNNNNNNNNNNNNNNNNNNNNNNNNNNNNNNNNNNNNNNNNNNNNNNNNNNNNNNNNNNNNNNNNNNNNNNNNNNNNNNNNNNNNNNNNNNNNNNNNNNNNNNNNNNNNNNNNNNNNNNNNNNNNNNNNNNNNNNNNNNNNNNNNNNNNNNNNNNNNNNNNNNNNNNNNNNNNNNNNNNNNNNNNNNNNNNNNNNNNNNNNNNNNNNNNNNNNNNNNNNNNNNNNNNNNNNNNNNNNNNNNNNNNNNNNNNNNNNNNNNNNNNNNNNNNNNNNNNNNNNNNNNNNNNNNNNNNNNNNNNNNNNNNNNNNNNNNNNNNNNNNNNNNNNNNNNNNNNNNNNNNNNNNNNNNNNNNNNNNNNNNNNNNNNNNNNNNNNNNNNNNNNNNNNNNNNNNNNNNNNNNNNNNNNNNNNNNNNNNNNNNNNNNNNNNNNNNNNNNNNNNNNNNNNNNNNNNNNNNNNNNNNNNNNNNNNNNNNNNNNNNNNNNNNNNNNNNNNNNNNNNNNNNNNNNNNNNNNNNNNNNNNNNNNNNNNNNNNNNNNNNNNNNNNNNNNNNNNNNNNNNNNNNNNNNNNNNNNNNNNNNNNNNNNNNNNNNNNNNNNNNNNNNNNNNNNNNNNNNNNNNNNNNNNNNNNNNNNNNNNNNNNNNNNNNNNNNNNNNNNNNNNNNNNNNNNNNNNNNNNNNNNNNNNNNNNNNNNNNNNNNNNNNNNNNNNNNNNNNNNNNNNNNNNNNNNNNNNNNNNNNNNNNNNNNNNNNNNNNNNNNNNGAAACCAUGCAAUGUUCGGCGGCCGAAAGUGACCUUCGGCGGCCGAACCUUUGCAUUUCUCCCUUAUUGCUUUUCUUGCAAAACUCUUUUCCUUAAACACUUAAAACCAUUCAAAACUCUUAAAACACACACAAACACUUAUGUAUUACCCCUCUCGAGGGUUCCGACACCCGAAAUUCCACCGAACUACAGGAAUUCCGAUGCCGGACUCAAGCCGGGUAUUACAUUCUCCCCCCCUUAAGAACAUUCAUCCCCGAAUGUCCCUAACACAACAUAAAACACAUAAAAAGGGGAAAAACUAACCUUAAAAUAGAUGGGGAUAUUGCUGGAGCAUAGACUCCCGUGUCUCCCAGGUGCACUCUUCUAAAUUGUGGUGGUUCCAUAGGACUUUCACCAUGGGUAUCUCCUUGUUUCUCAGCUUUCUGAUCUGGGUGUCAAGGAUCCGUACGGGCUGCUCUACAUAAGUGAGAUCUCCAAGGAUCUCUACAUCAGGUUCACUGAGAACUUUACUUGGAUCCGACACAAAUUUCCUCAACAUAGAAACAUGAAAUACCGGGUGAAUUCGUUCCAUCGAUGCAGGUAAAUCUAGCUUGUACGACACAUUCCCGAUCCGCUGCAAGAUCUCAAAGGGACCAAUGUACCGUGGGGCUAGUUUACCCUUCUUUCCAAAGUGAACCACUCCCUUCAUUGGAGACACCUUUAGCAAUACCAUAUCCCCCUCCUGAAACUCAAUCUGCUUUCUACGGAUGUCUGCAUAGCUUUUCUGUCUGCUUACAGCUGUUCUGAUCCUCUCUCUGAUGAUAGGCACUAACUUGCUGGUAAUCUCUACAAUUUCUGGCCCUGCAAGAGCCUUCUCUCCUACCUCUUCCCAUCAAACAGGUGUUCGGCACUUCCUCCCAUAUAAAGCUUCAUAAGGGGCCAUCCCUAUGCUAGCAUGAUGGCUGUUGUUGUAGGCAAACUCCACUAGAGGUAGAUGCUGCCUCCAAGAACCGCCAAAGUCUAACACACACAUUCUCAACAUAUCUUCGAUGGUCUGGAUGGUCCUCUCUGACUGACCGUCUGUUUGUGGAUGGAAAGCAGUGCUGAAAUCCAACCUUGUGCCCAUUUCACUUUGCAGACUCCGCCAAAACCUGGAGGUGAACUGAGGUCCUCUAUCUGAUACUAUUGACACUGGAACUCCAUGAAGCCUCACUAUCUCUUGUACAUACACUUGCGCCAAUUUGUCCACAGAGUAGUUACUCCUAACUGGAAUGAAGUGAGCAGAUUUAGUGAGUCUAUCCACAAUCACCCAUAUGGAGUCUAGUCUGUUAGACGUCGCCGGUAACCCCACUACAAAAUCCAUAGCUAUGUUCUCCCAUUUCCACUCUGGAAUCGGCAGUGGGUUAAGCAUUCCAGCCGGCUUCUGGUGUUCUAGCUUCACCCUUUGACAUGUUUCGCAGGCUGACACGAACUGUGCUACUUCUCUCUUCAUAGCUGGCCACCAAUACACCUUUCUCAGAUCUUGAUACAUCUUGGUGGCUCCGGGGUGAACGCUAUACCUCGCAUUAUGAGCUUCCCUCAUAAUGUCUUCCUUUAAACUGCGGUCAUCUGGUACACAUAACCUCUUCCCGUGACGAAGAAUCCCCUCACUGUCAAAUCUGAACUCUGCACUAUUGCCAGACUGAACAGUCCUGGCAAUCUGUACUAACUCAGGGUCCUCGUGCUGUUUCAGAGCAACUUGCUCUAGAAACACUGGUGUAACUCUCAUCUGUGCAAUCAAAGCACCUGUACCAGAUAACUGCAACUGUAGCCCUUCAUCUACGAGCUUGUAGAAGUCCUUCACCACCGGCCUUCUCUCUACUGCAAUGUGGGAUAAACUGCCAAGUGACUUCCGGCUUAAGGCAUCAGCUACAACAUUAGCCUUACCCGGAUGAUACUGGAUUUUGCAAUCGUAAUCACUGAGCAAUUCUACCCACCGUCUCUGCCUCAAGUUUAGCUCUCUCUAGCUCAAAAUGUGCUGCAGGCUCUUAUGAUCUGUGUAGAUCUCACACUUGACCCCAUAGAGGUAAUGCCUCCACAUCUUAAGUGCAAAGAUAACAGCUGCCAUCUCCAGAUCGUGUGUCGGAUAGUUUAGCUCGUGCUUCUUCAGCUGUCUAGAAGCAUAAGCUAUCACUCUGUCCUUCUGCAUCAACACACAACCUAAUCCCACUCGGGAUGCAUCACAGAACACUGUGAAAUCUUCAUCACUAGUCGGCAGAGCUAACACCGGUGCUGACGUCAACCGUCUCUUCAACUCUUCAAAACUCUCAUCACAUUCUUCUGACCAUACGAACUUCUGAUUAUUUCUGGUCAAUCUGGUCAUAGGAGCAGCUAUCUUUGAAAAGUCCUGCACGAACCUCCGAUAGUAGCCUGCCAAACCCAGAAAACUCUUGAUCUCUGUCACUGUAGUGGGUGUAGGCCAAUUGGCUACUGCCUCUACCUUUUUGGGAUCUACUGCUAUACCUUCCUCUGAUACUACAUGUCCCAAAAAGGAAAUGCUCCUUAGCCAGAACUUGCACUUGGAGAACUUGGCAUACAAGCCAUGCUCUCUCAAGGUUUGCAAAACUAUCUUCAGAUGCUGGGCAUGCUCUUCUGCAUUUCUGGAGUACACCAAGAUAUCAUCUAUAAAGACGAUCACAAAGCGAUCCAGGUACUCCCUGAACACCCUGUUCAUGAGAUCCAUGAAUGCUGCAGGGGCGUUAGUCAAUCCGAAUGGCAUUACUAGGAACUCAUAAUGCCCAUAUCUUGUCCUGAAAGUUGUCUUGGGUACAUCUUCUUCCCUGAUUCUCAACUGAUGGUAUCCGAAUCUCAGAUCUAUCUUAGAGAAACAACCUGCUCCUGCUAGCUGGUCAAAUAGAUCAUCGAUCCUGGGUAGAGGAUACUUGUUCUUGAUAGUGACCUUGUUCAACUGCCUGUAGUCAAUACAAAGUCGAAGAGAUCCAUCCUUCUUCCUGACAAACAGUACUGGAGCACCCUAGGGUGAGGUACUCGGGCGGAUGAACCCCUUGUCUACCAAGUCCUGUAACUGCUCUUUUAGCUCCUUCAGCUCUGCUGGUGCCAUCCUGUAGGGAGGUAUAGAGAUCGGUCUGGUACUAGGCAUCAAUUCGAUCUCGAACUCUAUUUCCCUAUCAGGUGGUAGUCCUAGAAGCUCUUCAGGAAACACAUCUGGGAACUCUCAAACAACUGGUACUGAGGACGGUUCCCUCACCUGCUUGUCUAGCUCUCUCACAUGAGCUAGGAACCCCUGACAACCUCUCCUCAACAAUCUAUGAGCCUGAAGGGCUGAUAUCAACCCCUUAGGUGUCCCUCUCCUAUCUCCUCUGAAGACACACUCUGACCCAUCUUGGUCUCUGAAACUCACUACCUUGUCUCUACAGUUCAGAGUAGCAUCAUACAUAGAUAACAAGUCCAUCCCUAGAAUGACAUCAAAAUCUAUCAACUCUAGAACCACCAGGUCAGCUGGAAGGUAUCUACUCUCUAUGCACACUAGACUGAACCGACAGACUGACUCUGUCAAAGAUGGAUCACAUUUGGGUCCACUGACCCAAAGAGGACACUCUAGCUCGGACACCAUCAGACCCAAACUCUCUGCGGCUCUAGAAGAAAUGAAAGAGUGAGAAGCACCGGGGUCCAUCAAAGCAUACACCUCUGAACACCCAAUGAUGAGAUUACCUGACACUACCGUGUUCGAAGUGUCUGCCUCCUGUUGAGUCAUGGUGAAAAUCCGUGCUGGGGCUGACGGACCUGCACCUCGGGAACCCAUCCCUGAUGAAGAGGCUGCCCCUCUUCCUCUUCCUCUACCACUGCUCUGGGGUAUAGCUGGAGCGGCUGGCUGUGCCACACUUCCAGAAGUCAUCUGCUGAGAUGAUGCCAUAGAGGUCAUGUUAGGACACUGCUUUGCCAUAUGCCCUUCCUGCCCACAUCUGUAGCAGGAUGUAGAUCCCUUCAGACAGACUCCUCCGUGCUGCCUUCCACAGUUUGGACAUACUAGUCUAUCAGCGCCAGAACCUGAGCCUCUACCCAUUCCUAAACUGGAUUUCAUUCUGCCCCAGAAUCUGCUCUUUUUCCCUUUACCCUUCUUUCCUCUCCUAUCCCCUGAAGCAGCUGCACCAGGAACUUUAGAACCUGAGGACUGUGCCACCGGCUGCCUAACUAUCCCUUGGAAACUGGCACUAGCCUCCAUCAUCCUCGCUGCAUCAACAAUUGAGUGAAAACUCUCUUUAUCAGCUGCCAGGAUCAGAGAAGAAUACCUGGUGUGUAAUCUCAUGGCAUAUCUCCUCACUUUCUUCUUGUCAGUGUCGUAUUCUUGUCCCACAUAUUGGAACAAAUCCAAAAACUUGUCAGUGUACUCAUCUACACUCAUUCCCUCCGUCUGUCUCAACUGUUCGAAUUCCACCAUCUUCAUUUCUCUGGAACUGUCAGGAAAAGCCCACCCUGCAAAUUCAUUGGCGAACUCUUCCCAUGUCAUACUGUCUAUCCUGGGGUCCACAUAGUUCUUGAACCAUUCUCUGGCUUUCUUGCACUUUAAUGUGAACCCUGCCAUCUCGAUGGCCCUAUGAUCAUCAGCUCCCAACUCACUCGCUAUCAUUCUGACUGCACCAAGAUACUUAAAGGGGUCAUCUCCCGUAUUGAACUUAGGAGCAUCCAACUUCAAGUACUCGGUCAUCUUCACCUUACUUCCCCCUGAAGAACUGGGUUGCUGUGCUUCCAUCACAGGGGCUACUGGUUCAGGUGGUGGUGGUACUGUUUCUCUCACUUCAGGCUAUACUGGACUUAGAGGAACAGGUGGGGGUGGAUACAUGGAAUAUGGUGGAUAAAAGGAAGGAUAAGGCAUGUAAGGCAUGUAGGGUGGAUAGGGGGCAAAGCUUGAGUAAUCCGUUGUGCCUCCCAUCGGAUACCCCGGGCCCUGAACGCCUCCCUGGGACUCCCCCAUACCUUCUUCCGACCUUUCGACACCCAUACUUACAUCUCUACUCUGAUCACCCUCCAUCAGUUCUACUGACCUUCCUCCUCUGCUCACUCCUCUUCUGCUCUCGUCAGAAGACCUUCUAGGGUAUCGUGACGUUCCUUCCCUGCUUGACCUGGAGAUCGUGCCCUUGGCAAGGCAGGUGGACGAGCAGCUACACCCUCACUUACAGGUGGGACUCCAGUCAAUCUCGCGGAUCGAUGAGUUCCUCGCAUCCUAACUUUCUGGAAAACAGCAUACACAUAGCUUAUCAGCACCAUAUAGUCCAUGUGAGAAUACAUGAACCUCAAACAUACAUAAUAUAUAAUACAAUGCUCAUGCAUAACUCAUGGCAUUUCAAUCAUCAUCAAAUAGACAGGCCUAACAUCCUAUCCUAGUGGACAUGUUUUCCUAUUGUGCUUGACCAGCUUAAACCUCUAUGAGCCCAUCUUGCUCUAUAGGUCCGACCAUACGAACCUUGGGCUCUGAUACCACUCUGUAACAGCCCGUAAACCGGACUAUUACCGGCACUAGGAUCCAGAUCGACUUAAGGCCGCCGGGACCCGUAGUAAGCCUACUGUGAACUCUGUGUACCUGUAAAAACUCAUACAUGAUCAUACAUUUUUUGUAAAAAUGUACAACUCUUUCUCUGUACCAAGGCUUAACCUGUGCAUGUGCUAACUCUGUACUAUAAACCCCUGCUAGAGCUCUCAUCUUUGCUCUAGGCGGGCUAAACUCAUAUCUGGCAAGCCUGGUUCUCAUGCAUAUGUACUAAAAUCAUUUUCAUAAUCGGAUCAUGUAUAUACAUAAGUAUCACAACUCUUGCAAUAGUCAAGCACAAUUCUAUACACUGCACAACAUUAACUAUCUCUUUAAAAUUACAUGUCCACUCUAACUAUUACAUAUCCUUCAUUUCUUCUAUACUCUGCUAAGCUCGCUCUCUGAACUCUGAGGUCUAAAACCUGCAAAAACUGGAAUGAGGGGAGAGGGGUGAGCUAGACUAGCCCAGUGAGUAGUACAUAAAACAUGCUCUCAUGGAAUGCAUCAUAACACAACCAUCUCACAUCACUGUAUAUUAUCCGUUUUGGGUUCACGCAAGCGUCCUUCCCCAUUGAGUUCACGCAAGCGUCCUUCCUCAGGGAGUUCACGCAAGCGUCCUUCCUCCCACGGAUUUCUCUUGAUCACAUGAACAUAGAAUAAUGCAAUGCAGCAUAUUCGUGAACUAGUGCAAUCAACCUACUNNNNNNNNNNNNNNNNNNNNNNNNNNNNNNNNNNNNNNNNNNNNNNNNNNNNNNNNNNNNNNNNNNNNNNNNNNNNNNNNNNNNNNNNNNNNNNNNNNNNNNNNNNNNNNNNNNNNNNNNNNNNNNNNNNNNNNNNNNNNNNNNNNNNNNNNNNNNNNNNNNNNNNNNNNNNNNNNNNNNNNNNNNNNNNNNNNNNNNNNNNNNNNNNNNNNNNNNNNNNNNNNNNNNNNNNNNNNNNNNNNNNNNNNNNNNNNNNNNNNNNNNNNNNNNNNNNNNNNNNNNNNNNNNNNNNNNNNNNNNNNNNNNNNNNNNNNNNNNNNNNNNNNNNNNNNNNNNNNNNNNNNNNNNNNNNNNNNNNNNNNNNNNNNNNNNNNNNNNNNNNNNNNNNNNNNNNNNNNNNNNNNNNNNNNNNNNNNNNNNNNNNNNNNNNNNNNNNNNNNNNNNNNNNNNNNNNNNNNNNNNNNNNNNNNNNNNNNNNNNNNNNNNNNNNNNNNNNNNNNNNNNNNNNNNNNNNNNNNNNNNNNNNNNNNNNNNNNNNNNNNNNNNNNNNNNNNNNNNNNNNNNNNNNNNNNNNNNNNNNNNNNNNNNNNNNNNNNNNNNNNNNNNNNNNNNNNNNNNNNNNNNNNNNNNNNNNNNNNNNNNNNNNNNNNNNNNNNNNNNNNNNNNNNNNNNNNNNNNNNNNNNNNNNNNNNNNNNNNNNNNNNNNNNNNNNNNNNNNNNNNNNNNNNNNNNNNNNNNNNNNNNNNNNNNNNNNNNNNNNNNNNNNNNNNNNNNNNNNNNNNNNNNNNNNNNNNNNNNNNNNNNNNNNNNNNNNNNNNNNNNNNNNNNNNNNNNNNNNNNNNNNNNNNNNNNNNNNNNNNNNNNNNNNNNNNNNNNNNNNNNNNNNNNNNNNNNNNNNNNNNNNNNNNNNNNNNNNNNNNNNNNNNNNNNNNNNNNNNNNNNNNNNNNNNNNNNNNNNNNNNNNNNNNNNNNNNNNNNNNNNNNNNNNNNNNNNNNNNNNNNNNNNNNNNNNNNNNNNNNNNNNNNNNNNNNNNNNNNNNNNNNNNNNNNNNNNNNNNNNNNNNNNNNNNNNNNNNNNNNNNNNNNNNNNNNNNNNNNNNNNNNNNNNNNNNNNNNNNNNNNGAAACCAUGCAAUGUUCGGCGGCCGAAAGUGACCUUCGGCGGCCGAACCUUUGCAUUUCUCCCUUAUUGCUUUUCUUGCAAAACUCUUUUCCUUAAACACUUAAAACCAUUCAAAACUCUUAAAACACACACAAACACUUAUGUAUUACCCCUCUCGAGGGUUCCGACACCCGAAAUUCCACCGGACUACAGGAAUUCCGAUGCCGGACUCGAGCCGGGUAUUACAUUCUCCCCCCCUUAAGAACAUUCGUCCCCGAAUGUCCCUAACACAACAUAAAACACAUAAAAAGGGGAAAAACUAACCUUAAAACAGAUGGGGAUAUUGCUGGAGCAUAGACUCCCGUGUCUCCCAGGUGCACUCUUCUAAAUUGUGGUGGUUCCAUAGGACUUUCACCAUGGGUAUCUCCUUGUUUCUCAGCUUUCUGAUCUGGGUGUCAAGGAUCCAUACGGGCUGCUCUACAUAAGUGAGAUCUCCAAGGAUCUGUACAUCAGGUUCACUGAGAACUUUACUCGGAUCCCACAAAUUUCCUCAACAUAGAAACAUGAAAUACCGGGUGAAUUCGUUCCAUCGAUGCAGGUAAAUCUAGCUUGUACGACACAUUCCCGAUCCGCUGCAAGAUCUCAAAGGGACCAAUGUACCGUGGGGCUAGUUUACCCUUCUUUCCAAAGCGAACCACUCCCUUCAUUGGAGACACCUUUAGCAAUACCAUAUCCCCCUCCUGAAACUCAAUCUGCUUUCUACGGAUGUCUGCAUAGCUUUUCUGUCUGCUUACAGCUGUUCUGAUCCUCUCUCUGAUGAUAGGCACUAACUUGCUGGUAAUCUCUACAAUUUUUGGCCCUGCAAGAGCCUUCUCUCCUACCUCUUCCCAGCAAACAGGUGUUCGGCACUUCCUCCCAUAUAAAGCUUUAUAAGGGGCCAUCCCUAUGCUAGCAUAUGGCUGUUGUUGUAGGCAAACUCCACUAGAGGUAGAUGCUGCCUCCAAGAACCGCCAAAGUAUAACACACACAUUCUCAACAUAUCUUCGAUGGUCUAGAUGGUCCUCUUUGACUGACCGUCUGUUUGUGGAUGGAAAGCAGUGCUGAAAUCCAACCUUGUGCCCAUUUCACUUUGCAGACUCCGCCAAAACCUGGAGGUGAACUGAGGUCCUCUAUCUGAUACUAUUGACACUGGAACUCCAUGAAGCCUAGGCCAUGUGGUAGGGAGGGAUAGAGAUUGGUCUGAUUCCAGGCAUUAAUUUUAUUUCAAACUCUAUCUCCCUAGCAGGUGGUAGUCCUGGAAGCUCGUCUGGGAAAACAUCUGGAAAGUCUCUAACCACGGGCACUGAGGCGGGCUCCCUAACCUGACUAUCAAGCUCUCUCACAUGAGCUAAAAACCCCUGACAACCCCUCCUGAGCAACCUACGAGCCUGUAAGGCUGAUAUUAGACCCCUAGGUGUACCCCUCCUGUCUCCUCUGAAGACAACCUCUGAUCCAUCCUGACCUCUGAACCUGACUACCUUGUCUCUGCAGUCUAAGGUAGCACCAUAUGUAGAUAGCCAAUCCAUCCCUAGAAUGACAUUAAAAUCCGUCAACUCUAGAACCACCAGGUCAGCUGGAAGGCAUCUACUCUCCACAAAGACUGGACUAUGCCGGCAGACUGACUCUGCCACUGAUGGAUCACACUUGGGUCCACUGACCCAAAGGGGACACUCUAACCCAAAGACUAUCAACCCCAACCUCUGAACGGCUCUCGGAGCAACAAAAGAAUGAGAUGCACUAGGGUCCAUUAAAGCAUACACAUCUGAAAAACCAAUGAUGAGAUUACCUGUGUAAUAUCCGGCUAGAGUCCGACAUCGGAAUUCCUACUAUCCGGUGGAAUCUCGGAUGUCGGGACCCUCUAGAAGGGUAAUAGAUAUGUUUUCUAAAGUGUUUUAAUAUGUUUUAAUGUUUUUAAGUAUAAAGGAAAAUGAGUUUUUUUGAAAGAAAAGAACUAAGGGAGAAAAGCCAGGUUCGGCCACCGAAGGUGAAGUUCAGCCGCCGAAGGUGAAGUUCGGCCGCCGAACAUUGCAUGGUUUCGGGAUCACGUUUGGCCGCCGAAGGUGGUCUGGCCAGCCACCUAUAAAAAGCCAAAGGUCGGUGGAUGGAUAAGAUUUUUCUUUCCAUCUCCACGGACAGAGGUGAGACUAAGAUCUUCCUUGGGUGAUCUUCAUGUUUUCUCCAAAUCUUUCAUGGUUUUGAGGAGUUUUCAUGUUGUUUUGUAGUUUUUGAGCUAAAGACCAAAGUUUUGAAGUUUGGAGACUUUGAGAGAGAGUUUCUCCAUAUCUCCACGUUAGGAUCGCCUAUCCUCUCGUUUUCAAGAGGUAAGUGAAGAUCCUUAACUUCUUUUUAUGUUUUAAGAAGGUUUUAUGGGGUUUUAUGGGUAGAGAUGCAUGUUUAGGUUAAGUAGGGUUUUUGGUUGUUUGUUGUGUAUAAGCAUGUUAUGUGUUGAGUUGUGUUGCUUGAUGGGGUUUUAAGUUAGUUUUGGACCCCUUUGUGCAUGUACUUGAGUAAAUGCUUGUUGUUGAGUUGUUGGUUGCAUGUUGAGUGAAGUUUGGGGAAGUGUUGCAUGAAGCAGGGCAAGGUUCUGCCUUACUGGAGAACCCAGUUUCGACCGCCGAAGGAAGGUUCGGCCGCCGAACAUGCUAAGGAGGUGGUUUCGGCUGCUUAAGCUCGCCCCCGAAAGUUUGGACUUUCGGCUCUGGAGUGGAGUUUCGACCGCCGAAAGUGCCACCGAAGGUUGAGACUUUCAUCUCUGAAGAGGACUUUUGGCAGCCGAAGGUGCCGCCGAAAGUGUCUGAGUUUCGGCUCUGGAGGGACUUUGGGCCGUCGAACCUGCCGCCGAAGGUGCCCUGUCCAGCCUUCUUUUGCAUGUUUUAUGUGAUUGUUUUAGGAUGUUUAGGGGGGCUUUUGGGGAGUUCUAUAGACUUGUUCUUGAGCUAGUUUGGUCCCUCAUUUGAGUCCACCUGUGUAGGAACGGACCAGAGGAACCGAAGAGAUCAGCAGUGAGCACUGCUUCAUAGUCAGUUCAGAGUCAGCCAGAGGUGAGUGGAACUAAACUUAAUCUUUUUAAUUGAGCAAUCAAAUAUUUUUAGCAUGUUUCAUGCACCAUGAUUAUGCAGUAGGUUGAUUGCAUUAGAAGUCACGAAUAUGUUGCAUUGCACUCUAUGUUGUUGAUGUGGAUGAAAAGUGGAUGAUCCAUUAGUCCCUGAGAAAGACCAAGUGCCCAUUCUACGCCCUGACAUGAGUUAUGAGAAAGACCAGGUGCCUAUUCUACACCAUGGCACGAGUAUGAGGUAAGACAGAAAGACCAGGUGCCCAUUCUAUGCCCUAGCACGAGUACAGGAUGUCGGGACUAUUGGUGACAUAUUCAUCCUUGAUGUGAAAUGUCUGUGAUAUGAUGCAUUCCAUGAGAGCAUGUUUUAUAACAUGUUUUUAUUGUUCUACUCACUGGGCUUUAGUAGCUCACCCCUCUCCCCUAACCCCAGUCUUGCAGGUUCAUAGUACAAGGGGAGUCCAGCAGGGUACAGAAAAAGUAAAGAGUUGUGUAAUAGCAUAGUGUGGACAUGUAUCUUUUGUAAAUAGAUGUUUAUGUAACCGUUGUACAGAGUUUUUAUAGUAUUGUGCUUGACCCACAGGUGUUGUAAUCCCUCUUGUAUACAUGGUCUGUUUAUGUAAAUGUUUUACUGAUGAGUAUGAAAACCAGGCUUUAUAUAUACUGUGUGGACCUAACUAGAGCAUUUGAUGAGGGCCCUAGCAAGGGGUCUGUGCACAGAGUACAAAGUUAGUGCAUGCACAGGUUGAGCCUUGGUAUAGUUUUUUAUAGAGUAUGUAUGAUCAUGUAUGAGAUUUUACAGGUACUCAGAGAGUAUAACAGGCUUGAUACGGGUCCCGGUGACCUUAAGUUGAUCUGGAUCCUAGUGCCGGUAGAGGUCCGAAUAUCGGGUCGUUACAGAUUGGUAUCAGAGCCCUAGGUUCACAUGGUCGGACCUAUAGAGAGUGUCGGGCUCAUAGGGGUUAGAGUAGGUCAAGCACAAUAGGAAAACAUGUCCACUAGGAUAGGAUGUUGAGUCCUGUCUACAUGAUGAUGUGAAAUGCUAUGCUUUUAUGCAUGUGCAUUAUUGAUAUGUGAUGUAUGCUAAUGUGCUAUGUUAUGUGCUGUUUUCCAGAGUUAAGAUGAGAGGAACUCGUCGAUCUGCCCGAUUGACUGGAGUCCCACCAGAGAGUGAGGGUACAGGUGCUCAUCCUCCUGCGUUGCCAAGGGCGAUGUCUCAGAGAUCAAGCAGGGAAGGUACGUCAAGGGACCCUAGAAGGUCUUUUGACGAGAGCAGAAAAGGAACAGACAGAGGAGGGAGGUCAGAUGAAGUGAGGGAGGCUAUGGAUGUUGACCAAAGAAGAGAUGAAAGCAUGGGUAUGGAUAGGUCUGAAGAGGUUAUGGAAGAGUCUCAAGGAGGCGCUCAGGCCUCGGGGUAUGGUUAUCCACCCCACUAUCCACCCUUUCCACAGGGCCCAAGGUAUCCGAUGGGAGGGACGUCGGAUUACUCUAGCUUUACCCCAUAUCCUACCUAUAUGCCUUAUAUGCCUUAUCCUCCUUUUUACCCACCAUAUCCCAUGUAUCCACCCUCACCUUACCAUCCAAGUUCAGCACACCUAGAACCAAGAGAUACAGUACCUCCUCCUCCACCACCAGAACCAGAAGCCCCUGUUGUCCAAGCACCUCAGCCUAGCUCAUCUGGGGGAAGUAAAGUAAAGAUGACAGAGUAUUUGAAGUUGGAUGCUCCCAAAUUCAACACAAGAGAUGAUCCAUUUGAGUACCUCAGAUCGGUUAAGAUGAUAACCGAUGAGUUGGGAGCUGAUGAUAGUAGAGCCAUUGAGAUGGCAGGGUUCACACUGAGAUGCAAGAAAGCUCUAGAGUGGUUCAAGAACUAUGUGGACCCCAGGUUGGACAGCAUGACAUGGGAAGAGUUCGCCAAUGAGUUUGCAGGGUGGGCUUUUCCAGACAGUUCCAGGGAGAUGAAAGUUAUAGAGUUUGAGCAGCUGAGACAGACUGAAGAGAUGAGUGUAGAUGAAUACACUGAUAAGUUCCUGGAAUUGUUACAGUAUGUGUGUAAUACCCGGCUAGAGUUCGGCAUCGAAAUUUCUAUAGUCCGGUGGAAUCUCGGGUGUCGAAACGCUCUAGAAGGGUAAUACAUAUGUUUUCUAAUGUCUUUGAACUUGUUUAAAGGUUUUAAGUAUAAAGGAAAAUGAGUUUUUGAAAGAAAAGAGCCAAGGGAGAAAUGGCAAGUUCGGUCGCCGAAGGUGACUUUCGGCCGCCGAACCUUGCAUGGGUUCGGAUUCACGUUUGGCCGCCGAAGGUGGUCUGGCCAGCCACCUAUAAAAGGGCGCCAAGUCGGUGGAAGGAGGUAUUUUGCUUCCAUCUUCAGCCAGAGGUGAGUCCAACACCCUCCCUAGUUGACUUUCAUGAUUUUGCUCAAAUCUUUUAAGGUUUUGAAGAGUUUUGAUGUGGUUUUGAAGGGUUUUAGAGUUUUGAGCAAAAGAACAACGUUUUGAAGUUUGGAGAGUUUGAGAGAGGAUUUCUCCAUAUCUCCAUGUUGGGAUCGUUUGAUCUCUUAUUUUGACAAGGUAAGUAAAGAUCCAGAACUUCCUUGCUUGAGUUUUGAAGGUUUCAUGGAAGUUUGAUGGGUAGUAUCCAUGAUAGGGUUUUAGUUGAGGUUUUGUAUGAUUUUGUGUAUAAGCAUGUUUAAGUGUUGUUUGAUAUGGUUGUUUGAGGUUUUAAGAUAGUUUUGGACCUCUUUAUGCAUGUUAUAUGGUAUGUGCUAGUUGGGAGUAGUUGAUAUGCAUGUUGGGAAAGUUUUGGGUGAGUUUUGCAUGAAACAGAGCAGGGUUCUGCCCAACGGGCAAAGCUAGGUUUGGCCGCCGAAGGAAGGUUCGGCCGCCAAACCCCUUUUGGAGGCAGUUUCGGCUGCCAAAGCUUGCCCCCGAACAUUUGGACUUUCGUCUCUUGAGGCAUGGUUCGGCCGCCGAAAGUGCCGCCGAAGGUUGAGUUUCAUCUCUGGACGAGACUUUCGGCCGCCGAAGGUGCCGCCGAACAUGCAUGAGUUUCGUCUCUGGACGAGACUUUCGGCCGCUGAAGGUGCCGCUGAACAUGCAUGAGUUUCGUCUCUGGAGGGGGGGUUUCGGCUGCCGAACCUACCGCCGAAAGUGCCCUGUCCAGCCUUCUUUUGCAUGUUUUAUGUGAUUGUUUUAGGAUCUUUUAGAGGGCUUUUGGGGAGUUUCUUAGAGAUGUUCUUGAGUUAGUUUGGUCCCUCAUAUGAGUCUACCUGUGUAGGUACGGACCAGAGGAAUCAGGGAAAUCAGCAGUGAGCGCUGUUUCAGAACCUGCAGAGUUAGUACAUAGUCAGCCAGAGGUGAGUGGAACUUGCAUUUUCAGAACUAAAAUGCUUUGAGCAUGUUUCAUGCAUCAUAAUGAUUAUAGUAGGUUGAUUGCAUUAGUUGCACGAAUAUGGUGCAUUGCAUAAUACGAUGAAGAUGAUGAGCUGGAUGGACCAAGGCGACCCCAAUAGCCCAAGCUCUGUUAUAAGACUUGGCCGGGCCAGGCAGCCAUCUGUGGUAAGACCUGGCUAGGCCAGGCAGCAGAGAUAGUAAGACCUGGCUGGGCCAGGCAUAAGGAGGUUGUAAGACCUGGCUAGGCCAGGCAUCCUUAUACUGGGAAUUUUGGUGGUCAUGUCUAUCCCUGAGAUGAAAUGUUUGUUAUGUGAUGCAUUCCAUGAGAUCAUGUUUUCUAGUUCUGCUCAUUGGGCUUGUAUAGCUCAUCCCUCUCCCCUCACCCCAGUCUUAUAGGUUCAGAGUCCAGAGGGAGUCCCACAGGGUAUGGAGGAAGAAGAGUUAUGUAAUAGCUAGUGUGGACAUGUAAUUGUAAAGAGAUAGUGUACAGUGUAUAAACUUGUGCUUGACUGAUAAGAGUUGUAAUCCCUUUUUGUAUAUACAUGAUCUGUUUAUGAAAAUAACUUUAUUGUUAUGUAUAUGAGAAAACCAGGCUUAACAUAGUAUGAGCUUAACCCACCUAGAGCAAAGAUGAGAGCUCUAAUAGGGGUUUUCAGUACAGAGUUAGUGCAUGCACAGGUUAAGCCUUGGACCAGAGAAAAGUUUUAAGUUUUAUAGAAAAUGUAUGAUCAUGUAUGGGAUUUCACAGGUACACAGAGUUCCCAGCAGGCUUGCUACGGGUCCCGGCGGCCUUAAGCCGAUCUGGAUCCUAGCGCCGGUAGCAGUUUGGUUUCCGGGCUGUUACAGAUUGUUAUCAGACCACUAGGUUCACAUGGUCGGACCUAUAUAGAGAGAGUCGGGCUCAUAGAGGUUAUAGUUGGUCAAGCACGAUAGGAAAACAUGUCCACUAGGAUAGGAUGUGAGUCCUGUUUAUAUGCUUAUGAUGAUGUGAAAUGCCAUGAUUCAUGCAUGUGCAUUAUGUAUCUGUGAUGUAUGCUUAUGUGCUCAGUUAUGUGUUGUUUUCCAGAGAGUUAAGAUGCGAGGAACAUGUCGAUCCGCGAGAUUGACAAGAGUCCCACCGGAAAGUGAGGGUAUAGCUGCUCGUCCACCUGCAUUGCCAAGGGCAAGAUCUCACAGGUCAAGUAGGGAAGGAACGUCACGAGACCCUAGAAGGUCUUCUGACGAGAGCAGAAGAGGAGUAGGCAGAAGGGGAAGGUCAGAAGAAGAGAGAGUUGCUAUGGAGGGUGAUCAGAGUAGAGAUGAAAGCAUGGGUGUAGGAAGAUCAGAAGAAGGUAUGGGGGAGUCCUAGGGAGGCGUACAGGCCUCGGGGUUUGGCUAUCCACCCUUUCCACAGGGUCCAGGAUAUCCGAUGGGAGGUACGUCGGACUAUUCCAGCUUCGCCCCAUAUCCACCCUACAUGCCCUAUAUGCCCUAUCCUUCCUUCUAUCCACCAUAUCACAUGUAUCCACCCCCACCUUUUCAUCCAAGUCCCACACAGUCUGAAUCAAGAGAAACAGUACCUCCACCACCACCACCUAAACCAGUAGCCCCUGUUGUGGAAGCACAACAACCUAGUUCUUCAGGGGGAAAUAAGGUGAAGAUGACUGAGUACUUAAAGUUGGAUGCUCCUAAAUUCAACACGGGAGAUGAUCCCUUUGAGUAUCUCAGUGCAGUCAGAAUGAUAACAAGUGAGUUGGGAGCAGAUGAUAGUAGAGCCAUUGAGAUGGCAGGGUUCACAUUAAAGUGCAAGAAAGCCAGAGAAUGGUUCAAGAAUUAUAUGGACCCUAGAAUAGACAGCAUGACAUGGGAAGAGUUCGCCAACAAAUUUGCUGGAUGGGCUUUCCUUGAUAGUUCCAGGGAGCUAAAGGUUGUGGAGUUUGAGCAGUUGAGGCAGACUGAGGAGAUGAGCGUCGAUGAAUAUACAGAUAAGUUCCUGGAAUUGUUACCAUACGUAGGUCAGGCGUAUGAUACGGAUCAGAAAAAGGCAAGGAGAUAUGCCACGAGACUUCACCCCAGGUAUUUCUCCUUGAUCCUCCCCGCGGAGAAGGAGAGUUUCCACUCCAUUGUGGAUGCUGCUAGGCAAAUUGAGGCCAGUGCCAUACUACAGGGAUCAGUCACGCAACCAAAGGCACAGCCUUCUGGUACUAAACCAGUUUCCUCCUCACAGAGUACGGCAAGUGUGAGCAAGAAGAGAUGGGAUAAACUCAGAGGAAAAAGGGGCAAGUUCUGGAACAGGAUUAAGACGGGUCUGGGAAUGGGUAGCGGCUCCAGCUCUGGCACAGAUACUCCAGUUUGCAAGAGGUGUGGAAGACCACACCGAGGAGCUUGUCUGUUGGGAUCUACAGCCUGCUAUAGAUGUGGGCAGGAGGGACAUUAUGCACAGGAAUGUCCUCAGGCGACUUUGGUUACACCAUCCCAGCAGAUGACCUCAGGCAGUGUAGUAUAGCCAGCAGCUUUAGCCAUACCACCAAGCAGUGGCAGAGGUAGGGGAAGAGGGGCAGCCUCUUCAUCAGGGAUGGGUUCCCGUGGUGCAGGUCCGUCAGCCCCAGCACGGAUUUUCACCAUGACUCAGCAGGAGGCAGACACUUCGAACACAGUGGUGUCAGGUAAUCUCCUUAUUAGGUGUUUAGAGGAGUAUGCUUUGAUGGACCCCGGUGCUUCUCACUCUUUCAUUGCUUCUAGAGCCGCAGAGAGGUUGGGUCUGAUGGUGUCCGAGUUAGAGUGUCCUCUUUGGGUCAGUGGACCCAAAUGUGAUCCAUCUUUGGCAGAGUCAGUCUGUCGGUUCAGUCCAGUGUGCAUAGAGAGUAGAUACCUUCCAGCUGACCUAGUGGUGCUAGAGUUGACAGAUUUUGAUGUCAUUCUAGGGAUGGAUUAGUUAUCUAUGUAUGAUGCUACCUUGAACUGCAGGGACAAGGUAGUUAGUUUCAGAGACCAGGAUGGGUCAGAGUGUGUCUUCAGAGGAGAUAAGAGAGGGACACCUAGGGGUUUGAUAUCAGCCCUUCAGGCUUGUAGGUUGUUGAGGAGGGGUUGUCAGGGGUUCAUAGCUCAUGUGAAAGAGCUAGACAGUCAGGUUAGGGAAUCGUCCUCAAUACCAGUAGUUAGAGAGUUCCCAGAUGUGUUUCCUGAAGAGCUUCCAGGACUACCACCUGAUAGGGAAAUAGAGUUCGAGAUCGAAUUGAUGCCUGGUACCAGACCGAUCUCUAUUCCUCCCUACAGGAUGGCACCAGCAGAGCUGAGGGAGUUGAAAGAGCAGUUACAGGAAUUGGUAGACAAGGGUUUCAUCCGCCCGAGUACCUCACCCUAGGGUGCUCCAGUACUGUUUGUCAGAAAGAAGGAUGGAUCUCUUAGACUUUGUAUUGACUACAGGCAGUUGAACAAAGUCACUACCAAAAACAAGUAUCCUUUACCCAGGAUCAAUGAUCUAUUCGACCAGCUGGCAGGAGCAGGUUGUUUCUCUAAAAUAGAUUUGAGAUCCGGAUACCACCAGUUGAAGAUUAGGGAAGAGGAUGUACCCAAGACCGCUUUCAAGACCAGAUAUGGGCAUUAUGAUUUCCUAGUAAUGUCGUUCGGGUUGACUAACGCCCCUGCAGCAUUCAUGGAUCUCAUGAACAGAGUUUUCAGGGAGUACCUGGAUCAUUUUGUGAUUGUCUUUAUAGAUGAUAUCUUGGUGUACUCCAGGAAUGCAGAGGAGCAUGCCCAGCAUUUGCGGAUAGUUCUAUAGACCUUGAGAGAGCAUGGCUUGUAUGCCAAGUUCUCAAAGUGUGAGUUCUGGCUGAGGAGCAUUUCCUUUUUGGGACAUGUAGUAUCAGAAGAAGGAAUAGCAGUAGACCCCAAAAAGGUAGAGGCAGUAGCCAACUGGCCUACACCCACUACAGUGACCGAGAUCAAGAGUUUUCUGGGUUUGGCAGGCUACUAUCGGAGGUUCAUUCAGGACUUCUCGAAGAUAGCUGCUCCUAUGACCAGACUAACCAGAAACAAUCAAAAGUUCGUAUGGUCUGAGGAAUAUGAGGAGAGUUUUGAAGAGUUGAAGAGACGGUUGACUUCAGCACCAGUGUUAGCUCUGCCGAUCAGUGAUGAAGAUUUCACAGUGUUCUGUGAUGCAUCCCGAGUGGGAUUAGGUUGUGUGUUGAUGCAGAAUGACAGAGUGAUAGCUUAUGCUUCUAGACAGCUGAAGAAGCACGAGCUGAACUAUCCGACACACGAUCUGGAGAUGGCAGCUGUUAUUUUGGAACUUAAGAUGUGGAGGCAUUACCUCUAUGGGGUAAAGUGUGAGAUCUACACGGAUCAUAAGAGCCUGCAGCACAUCUUGAGUCAGAGAGAGCUGAACUUGAGGCAGAGACGGUGGGUAGAAUUGCUCAGUGAUUAUGAUUGCAAGAUUUAGUAUCAUCCGGGUAAGGCUAAUGUUGUAGCUGAUGCCUUAAGCCGGAAGUCACUUGGCAGUUUAUCCCACAUUACAGCGGAGAGAAGGCCGGUGGUGAAGGACUUUUACAGGCUCAUGGAUGAAGGGCUUCAGUUAGAGUUAUCUGGUAUGGGUGCUUUCAUUGCACAGAUGAGAGUUACACCUGUGUUUCUAGAGCAAGUGGCUCUGAAACAGCACGAAGAUCCUGAGUUAGUAAAGAUUGCCAGGACUGUUCAGUCUGGCAACAGUGCAGAGUUCAGAUUUGACAGUGAGGGGAUUCUUCGUCAUGGUAAGAGAUUAUGUGUACCAAAUGACAGCAGUUUAAAGGAAGACAUUAUGAGGGAAGCUCAUAAUGCAAGAUAUAGCGUUCACCCUGAAGCCACCAAGAUGUAUCAAGAUCUGAGAAGGGUGUAUUGGUGGCCAUCAAUGAAGAGGGAAGUGGCAUAGUUUGUGUCAGCCAGCGAGGUUUGUCAAAGGGUGAAGCUAGAGCACCAAAAGCCGGCUGGAAUGCUUAACCCACUACCGAUUCUAGAAUGGAAAUGGGAGAACAUAGCUAUGGAUUUUGUAGUGGGGUUACCGGCGACGUCCAACAGGCUAGACUCCAUAUGGGUGAUUGUGGAUAGAUUGACUAAAUCUGCCCACUUCAUUCCAGUCAAGAGUACCUAUUCUGUGGACAAGUUAGCGCAGGUGUAUGUAGAAGAGAUAGUAAGGCUGCAUGGAGUUCCAGUGUCGAUAGUAUCAGAUAGAGGACCACAGUUCACCUCCAGGUUUUGGCAGAGUCUGCAAGCUGCUAUGGGCACAAGAUUGGAUUUCAGCACUGCUUUCCAUCCGCAAACAGACGGUCAGGCAGAGAGGACCAUCCAAACUAUUGAAGAUAUGUUGAGGAUGUGUGUGUUAGACUUUGGCGGUUCUUGGAGGCAGCAUCUACCUCUGGUGGAGUUUGCCUACAACAACAGCCAUCAUGCUAGCAUAGGGAUGACUCCUUAUGAAGCUCUGUAUGGGAGGAAGUGCAGAACACCUGUUUGCUGGGAAGCGAUAGGAGAGAAGGCUCUUGCAGAGCCAGAGUUAGUUGAGAUUACCAGCAAGUUGGUGCCUAUCAUUAGAGAGAGGAUCAGAACAGCUGUAAGCAGACAGAAAAGCUAUGCAGACAUCCGUAGGAAGCAGAUAGAGUUCUAAGAGGGGGAUAUGGUAUUGUUAAAGGUGUCUCCAAUGAAGGGAGUGGUUCGCUUUGAAAGAAAGGGUAAACUAGCUCCAUGGUACAUUGGUCCCUUUGAAAUCUUGCAGAAGAUUGGGAAUGUGUCGUAUAAGCUGGAUUUACCUGCAUCAUUGGAACGAAUUCACCCGGUAUUCCAUGUCUCUAUGUUGAGGAAGUUUGUGUCGGAUCUGAGUAAGGUUCUCAGUGAACCUGAUGUAGAGAUUCUUGGGGAUCUCACUUAUGAAGAGCAGCCAGUACGGAUCUUAGACACACAGAUCAGGAAGUUAAGGAACAAGGAGAUACCAAUGGUGAAAGUCCUGUGGAACCACCAUAACCUAGAAGAAUGCACCUGGGAGACACGGGAGUCCAUGCUCCAGCAAUACCCAUAUCUGUUUUAAGGUUAGUUGUUCCUUUUUUUUUUAUGUUUUUAUGUGUUUAGUUGUUUUGAGGAACAUUCGAGGACGAAUGUUCUUAAGGGGGGGAAAAUGUAAUACCCGGCUAGAGUCCGGCAUCAGAAUUUCUGUAGUCCGGUGGAAUCUCGGGUGUCGAAACGCUCUAGAAGGGUAAUACAUACGUUUUCUAAUGUCUUUGAACUUGUUUAAAGGUUUUAAGUAUAAAGGAAAAUGAGUUUUUGAAAGAAAAGAGCCAAGGGAGAAAUGGCAAGUUCGGCCGCCGAAGGUGACUUUCGGCCGCCAAAGGUGACUUUCGGCCGCCGAACCUUGCAUGGGUUCAGAUUCACGUUUGGCCGCCGAAGGUGGUCUGGCCAGCCACCUAUAAAAGGGCGCCAAGUCGGUGGAAGGAGGUAUUUUGCUUCCAUCUUCAGCCAGAGGUGAGUCCAACACCCUCCCUAGUUGACUUUCAUGAUUUUGCUCAAAUCUUUUAAGGUUUUGAAGAGUUUUGAUGUGUUUUUGAAGGGUUUUAGAGUUUUGAGCAAAAGAACAACGUUUUGAAGUUUGGAGAGUUUGAGAGAGGAUUUCUCCAUAUCUCCACGUUGGGAUCGUUUGAUCUCUUGUUUUGACAAGGUAAGUAAAGAUCCAGAACUUCCUUGCUUGAGUUUUGAAAGUUUCAUGGAAGUUUGAUGGGUAGUAUGCAUGAUAGGGUUUUAGUUGAGGUUUUGUAUGAUUUUGUGUAUAAGCAUGUUUAAGUGUUGUUUGAUAUGGUUGUUUGAGGUUUUAAGAUAGUUUUGGACCUCUUUAUGCAUGUUAUAUGGUAUGUGCUAGUUGGGAGUAGUUGAUAUGCAUGUUGGAAAAGUUUUGGGUGAGUUUUGCAUGAAACAGAGCAGGGUUCUGCCCAACGGGCAAAGCCAGGUUCGGCCGCCGAAUGAAGGUUCGACCGCCGAACCCCUUGUGGAGGCAGUUUCGACUGCCAAAGCUUGCCCCCGAACAUUUGGACUUUCGUCUCUGGAGGCAAGGUUUGGCCGCCGAAAGUGCCGUCGAAGGUUGAGUUUCAUCUCUGGACGAGACUUUCGGCCGCCGAAGGUGCCGCCGAACAUGCAUGAGUUUCGUCUCUAGAGGGGGGUAUCGGCCGCCGAACCUGCCGCCGAAAGUGCCCUGUCCAGCCUUCUUUUGCAUGUUUUAUGUGAUUGUUUUAGGAUCUUUUAGAGGGCUUUUGGGGAGUUUCUUAGAGAUGUUCUUGAGUUAGUUUGGUCCCUCAUGUGAGUCCACCUGUGUAGGUACGGACCAAAGGAUUCAGGGAAAUCAGCAGUGAGCGGUGUUUCAGAACCUGUAGAGUUAGUACAGAGUCAGCCAGAGGUGAGUGGAACUUGCAUUUUCAGAACUAAAAUGCUUUGAGCAUGUUUCAUGCAUCAUAAUGAUUAUAGUAGGUUGAUUGCAUUAGUUGCACGAAUAUGGCGCAUUGCAUAAUACGAUGAAGAUGAUGAGGUGGAUGGACCAAGGCGACCCCAAUAGCCCAAGCUCUGUUGUAAGACCUGGCCGGGCCAGGCAGCCAUCUGUGGUAAGACCUGGCUAGGCCAGGCAGCAGAGAUAGUAAGACCUAGCUGGGCCAGGUAGGCAGAGUGUGUAAGACCUGGCUGGGCCAGGCAUAAGGAGGUUGUAAGACCUGGCUAGGCCAGACAUCCUUAUACUGGGAAUUUUGGUGGUCAUGUCUAUCCCUGAGAUGAAAUGUUUGUGAUGUGAUGCAUUCCAUGAGAUCAUGUUUUCUAGUUCUGCUCAUUGGGCUUGUAUAGCUCAUCCCUCUCCCCUCACCCCAGUCUUGCAGGUUCAGAGUCCAGAGGGAGUCCCACAGGGUAUGGAGGAAGAAGAGUUAUGUAAUAGCUAGUGUGGACAUGUAAUUGUAAAGAGAUAGUGUACAGUGUAUAAACUUGUGCUUGACUGAUAUGAGUUGUAAUCCUUUUUUGUAUAUACAUGAUCUGUUUAUGAAAAUAACUUUAUUGUUAUGUAUAUGAGAAAACCAGGCUUAACAUAGUAUGAGCUUAACCCACCUAGAGCAAAGAUGAGAGCUGUAAUAGGGGUUUUCAGUACAGAGUUAGUGCAUGCACAGGUUAAGCCUUGGACCAGAGAAAAGUUUUAAGUUUUACAGAAAAUGUAUGAUCAUGUAUGGGAUUUCACAGGUACACAGAGUUCCCAGCAGGCUUGCUACGGGUCCCGGCGGCCUUAAGCCGAUCUGGAUCCUAGCGCCGGUAGCAGUUCGGUUUCCGGGCUGUUACAAUGUGGGUUAAGCUUAUAACACUGACCAGAAGAAUGCAAGGAGAUAUGGUAUGAGACUUCAUCCCAGAUACUUCUCCUUGAUUCUUCCAGCAGAGAAAGAGAGUUUCCACUCUAUAGUGGAUGCAGCUAGAAAGAUGAAGGCAAGUGCCAUCAUUCAGGGGACAGUUAAACAGUCUAAAGCACAGUCUUCAGGUUCCAAGUUAUAUCCCUCUUCUCAGGGUACAGCUGCUGCUGGCAGUAAGAAAUGGGGAAGGGCAAGAGUUAAAAAGAACAAGUUAUGGAGCAAGAUCAAGUCUGGUCUGGGAAUGGGUAGUGGCUCAAGCUCUGGCACAGGCAGUUCAGUUUGUGUGAGAUGUGGGAAGCCGCACAAAGGAGUUUGUCGGAUGGGAUCUACAGCCUGCUUCAGGUGUGGGCAGGAGGGACAUUUUGCACGGGAAUGUCCUACAGCGACUUUAAUGGCAUCAUCCCAGCAGAUGACUUCUAGCAGUGUGGCUCAGCCAGCAGCUCCAGCCAUGCCUCAGAGUAGUGGCAGAGGUAGAAGGAGAGGGUCAGCCUCUUCUUCAGCAGCAGGUUCCCGAGGUGAAGGUCCAGUAGCCCCAGCACGGAUCUUCACUAUGACAUAAGAGGAGGCAAACACGUUGAACACAGUGGUGUCAGGUAACCUCAUCAUUGGGUGUUCUGAUGUGUAUGCUUUGAUGGACCCCGGUGCUUCUCAUUCCUUCAUUGCUUCUAGAGCGGUUGAGAGGUUGGGUCUGAUAGUCUCUGGGCUAGAGUGUCCUCUCUGGGUCAGUGGACCCAAGUGUGACUCAUCAGUAGCAGAGUCAGUCUGCCGUUUCAGUCCAGUGUUCAUAGAGGGUAGAUGCCUUCCAGCUGACCUGGUGGUUCUAGAUUUGACAGAUUUUGAUGUCAUUCUAGGGAUGGAUUGGCUAUCUACAUAUGGUGCUACCUUGGACUGCAGAGACAAGGUAGUCAGUCUCAAAGAUCAGGAUGGGUCAGAGUGUGUCUUCAGAGGAGACAGGAGGGGUACUCCUAGGGGUUUGAUAUCAGCCCUUCAGGCUCGUAGAUUGCUCAGGAGGGGUUGUCAGGGGUUUCUAGCUCAUGUGCGGGAGCUAGAUAGUCAGGUUAGGAAACCGGCUUCAGUGCCAAUAGUCAGAGAGUUUCCAGUCGUCUUCCCAGACGAGCUUCCAGGACUACCACCUGAUAGGGAGAUAGAGUUUGAAAUAGAAUUGCUGCUUGGUACCAGACCGAUCUCUAUCCCUCCCUACAGGAUGGCACCAGCAGAGUUAAAAGAGUUGAAAGAGCAGUUGCAAGAGUUGGUAGAUAAGGGUUUCAUCCGCCCUAGUACCUCACCUUGGGGUGCUCCAGUGCUUUUUGUCAGAAAGAAGGAUGGAUCCCUCAGACUUUGUAUCGACUACAGACAGUUGAACAAGGUCACUACCAAGAAUAAGUAUCCCCUGCCUAGGAUCGACGAUCUAUUUGACCAGCUAGCUGGAGCAGGUUGUUUCUCUAAAAUAGAUCUGAGGUCCGGGUAUCACCAGUUGAGAGUCAGAGAAGAGGAUGUGCCAAAGACAACUUUCAGGACCAGAUAUGGGCAUUAUGAGUUCCUGGUAAUGCCGUUCGGGUUGACUAAUGCCCCUGCAGCAUUCAUGGACCUCAUGAACAGAGUUUUCAGAGAGUAUAUGGAUCACUUCAUUAUUGUCUUCAUUGAUGAUAUCCUAGUGUAUUCCAAGGAUGCAGAGGAGCAUGCCCAUCAUUUGAGGACAGUUCUGCAGACCUUGAGAGAGCAUGGCUUGUAUGCCAAGUUCUCUAAGUGUGAGUUCUGGUUGAGGAGCAUUUCGUUCUUGGGGCAUGUUGUAUCAGCAGAAGGAAUAGAAGUGGACCCCAAGAAGAUAGAAGCUGUAGCUAACUGGCCUAGACCCACUACAGUGACAGAGAUUAAAAGCUUUUUGGGUUUGGCAGGUUACUACAGGAGGUUCGUACAGGACUUUUCAAAGAUUGCCGCUCCUAUGACCAGACUAACUAAGAAGAACCAGAGGUUCGUGUGGUCGGACCAGUGUGAAGAGAGCUUCGAAGAGUUAAAGAGGAGGUUAACAUCAGCACCAGUGUUAGCUCUGCCUGUCAGUAGUGAGGACUUCACAGUGUUCUGUGAUGCAUCCCGAGUGGCACUGGGCUGUGUGUUGAUGCAGAAUGAUAGGGUGAUUGCUUAUGCUUCUAGACAGCUGAAGAAGCAUGAGUUAAAUUACCCUACACAUGACCUAGAGAUGGCAGCAGUUAUCUUUGCACUUUAGAUGUGGAGGCAUUACCUUUAUGGGGUUAAAUGCGAGAUCUUCACAGAUCAUAAGAGUUUACAAUACAUCUUGAGUCAGAGAGAGCUGAAUUUGAGGCAAAGAAGAUGGGUAGAACUGCUCAGUGACUAUGAUUGCAAGAUUCGGGUAAGGCGAAUAUUGUGGCAGACGCCCUAAGCCGGAAAUCACUUGGCAGUUUAUCCCAUAUAACAGCAGAGAGAAGACCAGUGGUGAUGGAGUUUUAUAAGCUCAUCGAUGAAGGGCUACAGCUAGAGUUGUCUGGUGCAGGUGCUUUGAUAGCAUAGAUGAGAGUGACACCCGUGUUUCUGGAGUAGGUGACUCAGAAACAGCAUGAGGACCCUGAGUUAGUGAAAAUUGCUAGGACUGUUCAGUCAGGCAACAGCGCAGAGUUCAGAUUUGACAGCCAAGGGAUCCUUCGCUAUGGAAACAGACUAUGUGUACUAGAUGAUAUCAGUCUGAAGGGAGACAUUAUGAGGGAAGCUCAUAAUGCUAGGUACAGUGUUCACCCUGGAGCCACCAAGAUGUAUCAGGAUCUAAAAAGAGUGUAUUGGUGGCCAGCUAUGAAGAGAGAAGUGGCACAGUUUGUGUCCGCCUGUGAGGUUUGUCAAAGGGUGAAACUGGAACAUCAGAAGCCGGCUAGAAUGCUUAACCCACUACCAAUUCCAAGUGGAAAUGGGAGAACAUAGCUAUGGAUUUUGUGGUGGGAUUACCGGCAGCGUCCAACAGAUUAGACUCCAUAUGGGUGAUUGUGGAUAGACUGACUAAAUCUACUCACUUCAUCCCUAUCAGGAGUAACUACUCAGUGGACAAGUUAGCACAGGUUUAUGUGGAAGAGAUAGUAAGGUUGCAUGGGGUUCCAGUGUCUAUAGUGUCAAAUAGAGGACCCCAGUUCACCUACAAGUUUUGGCGGAGUCUGCAAGAUGCUAUGGGCACAAGGUUGGAUUUUAGCACUGCUUUCCAUCCACAGACUGACGGACAGUCAGAGAGGACCAUCCAGACCAUAGAGGAUAUGCUUAGAAUGUGUGUGUUAGACUUUGGCUGUUCUUGGAGGCAGCAUCUACAUUUGGUGGAGUUUGCCUACAAUAACAGCCAUCAUGCUAGCAUCAGGAUGGCUCCUUAUGAAGCUUUAUAUGGGAGGAAGUGCAGAUCACCGGUUUGCUGGGAAGAAGUGGGAGAGAAGGCUCUUGCAGGGCCUGAGCUAGUAGAGAUUACCAGCAGGCUAGUGCCCCUUAUCAGAGAAUCAAUCAGAACUGCUGUUAGCAGACAGAAAAGUUAUGCAGAUGUCCGCAGGAAGCAGAUAGAGUUUCAGGAGGGUGAUAUGGUAUUGUUGAAGGUGUCUCCAAUGAAGGGAGUGGUUCGGUUUGGGAAGAAGGGUAAGCUAGCUCCACGGUACAUUGGAUCCUUUGAGAUCUUGCAGAAGAUCGGGAAUGUGUCGUAUAAGCUGGAUUUACCUGCUUCUAUGGAGAGAAUUCACCCGGUUUUCCAUGUUUCUAUGUUAAGGAAAUUCGUGUCAGAUCCGAGUAAGGUUCUUAGUGAGCCUGAUAUAGAGAUCCUAGGAGCUCUCACCUAUGUAGAGCAGGCAGUGUGGAUCCUAGACACGCAGAUCAGGAAGCUGAGGAACAAGAAAAUUCCGAUGGUGAAAGUCCUUUGGAACCACCACAAUAUAGAAGAGUGCACCUGGGAGACACGGGAGUCUAUGCUCCAGCAAUAUCCAUACCUGUUUUGAGGUUAGUUUUCUCCUUUCUAUGUGUUUGGUUGGUUGAGGAACAUUCGGGGAUGAAUGUUCUUAAAGGGGGGAGAAUGUAAUACCCGGCUAGAGUCCGGCAUCGAAAUUCCUACUAUCCGGCGGAAUCUCGGAUGUCGGGACCCUCUAGAAGGGUAAUAGAUAUGUUUUCUAAAGUGUUUUAAUAUGUUUUAAUGUUUUUAAGUAUAAAGAAAAAUGAGUUUUUUUGAAAGAAAAGAACCAAGGGAGAAAAGUCAGGUUCGGCCGCCGAAGGUGAAGUUCGGCUGCCGAACAUUGCAUGGUUUCGGGAUCACAUUUGACCGCCGAAGGUGGUCUAGCCAGCCACCUAUAAAAGGCUAAAGGUCGGUGGAUGGAUAAGAUUUUUCUUUCCAUCUCCACGAACAGAGGUGAGACCAAGAUCUUCCUUGGGUGAUCUUCAUGUUUUCUCCAAAUCUUUCAUGGUUUUGAGGAGUUUUCAUGUUGUUUUGUAGUUUUUGAGCUAAAGACCAAAGUUUUGAAGUUUGGAGACUUUGAGAGAGAGUUUCUCCAUAUCUCCAUGUUAGGAUCACCUAUCCUCUCGUUUUCAAGAGGUAAGUGAAGAUCCUUAACUUCUUUUUAUGUUUUAAGAAUGUUUUAUGGGAUUUUAUGGGUAGAGAUGCAUGUUUAGGCUAAGUAGGGUUUUUGGUUGUUUGUUGUGUAUAAGCAUGUUAUGUGUUGAGUUGUGUUGCUUGAUGGGGUUUUAAGUUAGUUUUGGACCCCUUUGUGCAUGUACUUGAGUAUAUGCUUGUUGUUGAGUUGUUGGUUGCAUGUUGAGUGAAAUUUGGGGAAGUGUUGUAUGAAGCAUGGCAAGGUUCUGCCUUACUGGAGAACCCAGUUUUGGCAGCCAAAGGAAGGUUCGGCCGUCGAACAUGCUAAGGAGGUGGUUUCAGCUGCCUAAGCUCGCCCCCGAAAGUUUGGACUUUCGGCUCUGGAGUGGAGUUUCGGCCGCCGAAAGUGCCGCCGAAGGUCGAGACUUUCAUCUCUGGAGAGGACUUUCGGCAGCCGAAGGUGCCGCCGAAAGUGUCUGAGUUUCAUCUUUGGAGGGACUUUCGGCCGCCGAACCUGCCGCCGAAGGUGCCCUGUCCAGCCUUCUUUUGCAUGUUUUAUGUGAUUGUUUUAGGAUGUUUAGGGGGGCUUUUGGGGAGUUUUAUAGAGUUGUUCUUGAGCUAGUUUGGUCACUCAUUUGAGUCCACCUGUGUAGGAACGGACCAGAGGAACCGAAGAGAUCAGCAGUGAGCACUGCUUCAGAGUCAGUUCAGAGUCAGCCAGAGGUGAGUGGAACUAAACUUAAUCUUUUUAAUUGAGCAAUCAAAUGUUUUUAGCAUGUUUCAUGCACCAUGAUUAUGCAGUAGGUUGAUUGCAUUAGAAGUCACGAAUAUGUUGCAUUGCACUCUAUGUUGUUGAUGUGGAUGAAAAGUGGAUGAUCUAUUCAUCCCUGAGAAAGACCAGGUGCCCAUUCUAUGCCCUGGCACGAGUAUAAGGUAAGACAGAAAGACCAGGUGCCCAUUCUAUGCCCUGGCACGAGUACAGGAUGUCGGGACUAUUGGUGACAUAUUCAUCCUUGAUGUGAAAUGUCUGUGAUAUGAUGCAUUCCAUGAGAGCAUGUUUUAUAACAUCUUUUUAUUGUUCUACUUAUUGGGCUUUAGUAGCUCACCCCUCUCCACUAACCCCAGUCUUGCAGGUUCAGAGUACAAGGGGAGUCCAGCAGGGUACAGAAAGAGUAAAGAGUUGUGUAAUAGCAUAGUGUGGACAUGUAUCUUUUGUAAAGAGAUGUCUAUGUAACCGUUGUACAGAGUUUUUAUAGUAUUGUGCUUGACCCACAGGUGUUGUAAUCCCUCUUGUAUACAUGGUCUGUUUAUGUAAAUAUUUUACUGAUGAGUAUGAAAACCAGGCUUUAUAUAUACUAUGUGGACCCAACUAGAGCAUUUGAUGAGGGUCCUAGCAAGGGGUCUGUGCACAGAGUAUAGAGUUAGUGCAUGCACAGGUUGAGCCUUGGUACAGUUUUUUAUAGAGUAUGUAUGAUCAUGUAUAGGAUUUUACAGGUACUCAGAGAGUAUAGCAGGCUUGCUACGGGUCCCGGUGACCUUAAGUCGAUAUGGAUCCUAGUGCCGGUAGCGGUCCGAAUAUCGGGUCGUUACAACCUGACACCACGGUGUUGGAUGUGUUCGCCUCCUGCUGUGUCAUUGUGAAGAUCCGAGCUGGACCUGAUGGACCUUCACCACGGGAACCUGUUGAAGAAGAGGCUGCCCCUCUCCCUCUGCCUCUGCCACUGCCCUGUGUCAUAGCUGGAGCUACUGGUUGAGCCACACUACCAGAAGCUGUCAGCUGGGACUGUGCCAUAAAAGCUGCUCGAGGACACUCCCGUGCUAUGUGUCCCUCCUGCCCACAUCUGAAGCAGUUUGUUGUCCCAAACCGACACACUCCCUUGUGUGGCUUACCACACCUCAAGCACUCUGAACCAUCUGAACCUGAGCUCGAGCCACCACCUAAUCCCAGACCGGAUUUCAACCGAUUCCAGAACUUGUUCUUCUUUGUCUUGGCCUUGCCCCACUUCUUGCCAUCUGAAGCUGCUGCACUCAGAGAAGGGGGAUUUAACUUUCCUCUGCCUGGGGUCUUAGAACCUGAAGACUGUGCCACCGACUGUUUCACUGACCCUUCAAUGAUGGCACUAGCCUUCAUCUUCCGAGAUGCAUCCACAAUGGCGUGGAAGCUCUCCCUCUCUGCUGCAAGGAUCAGGGAGGAAUGCCUAGAGUGGAGCCUCAUGGUAUACGUCUUUACUUUCUUCUGGUCUGUAUCAUAUGCUUGACCCACAUACGGCAACAACUCCAAUAGCUUAUCUGUGUACUCGUCAACACUCAUAUUCUCUGACUGUCUCAGCUGCUCAAACUUCACAAUCUUUAGCUCUCUAGAACUGUCAGGGAAAGCCCACCCAGCAAACUCAUUGGCAAACUCCUCCCAGGAUAGGCUAUCCAACCUCGGGUCCACAUAAUUUUUAAACCAUUCUCGUGCCUUCUUGCACUUCAAGGUGAACCCCGCCAUCUGAAUGGCUCUACUAUCACUUGCCCCCAGCUCAUCUGUUAUCAUUUUCACCGUUCUGAGGUACUCAAAUGGAUCAUCACCUGUCUUCUACUUGGGAGCAUCCAGCUUUAGGUAGUCUGUCAUCUUUACCUUGCUCCCCUCAGAUGAGCUAGGUUUAGGUGUUUGGAUUACUGGGGCUACUGGUUCUGAUAGUGGAGGAGGGGGUGCAGCAUUCCCUGGGUUAGGAUUUGUUGUGCCUGGAUAGAAAGGUGAGGGUGGGUACAUUGGGUAUUGUGGGUAUGGUGGGUAGAAAGGUGGAUAAGGCAUGAAGGUAGGGUAGGGGUUAAUGUAACAGCCCGGCCCCGUACGACCGGCCCUGUUACUGCUCACAGCCCGUGACCUUCCUCUGGGCCCAGCCACUGUGAGCAGCUCUUAACAUCCCUUCAUCCUCACGGGUUCCAGGCAGGAUUUGUCCCUCGGGGGAGCCAUUACGGCCCGCCCUAGCCCGAGUGGAUUUGGCCCAAUUCCUUCCUCUGGGAAUUAGGUCGCCUCCCCCACUGCUCGAACCCUUGACCUCCCACUUUAAGGGAAUAGUCUGGUGAGAGUGAGUACCAAUUGUUCCAAUGAGCACUCUGUAACAGCCCGGAAACCGAUACCCCUCUGUAACGGCCCGAACCGCCACCGGCGCUAGGAUCCAGAUCGGCUUAAGGCCGCCGGGACCCGUAGCAAGCCAAACAUACAUACUAUUACCUGGUAAAAUCCCAUGCAUGAUCAAAACUUUAAACAUAAAACCCGAAAUCUGAACAUACACCAAGCUUGAUUCGUAAGUUACAACAUAACUGUGAACAUAAACUUUCCCAUGCUAGAGUCCUCAUCAAAUGCUCUAGCUGGGUCAUCAUUACAUACAUCAAGCCCGGUUCUCAACUCAACAUAAAAACAUUUCAUAAUCAUGCGUCAACAGGGAUUAACCAGUCUAUAGGGCCAAGCACACUCUAAUCCAUAAACAUAAACUCUACUAUCAGUUACAUACAUUAACUCAAAUUACAUUACAUCAAUUUAUAUUACAUGUCCACUUCUAAAACUACUAAACUGCUACAAAACAUAAGCUAUUACAUACAUAACUUAACUUAGCCUUGACUUUACCCUGCUGCCUCUGAACUCUUACUCAACUUGCAACACUGGGGUUAGGGGAAAGGGGUGAGCUAAAAAGCCCAGUGAGUAGAAACAGGAAAAACAAUUCAUUAAUUACAUGCUUUCAUGGAAUGCGUCAUAACACAAGUAAAUCACAUAACUGUGUCCGUCUCGGGGCUCAUACAUGCAUCUUAUCCCCACGAACUGUUUUCUGAGAGUCCUCAUGAAUUGCUAGCAUCUUUACUCUCAAGGAUCGGACAUGACCCCAAAAAUACCCUCUGUCGGUGCCCGGCUCCCCAAAGAAGCUCACAGGACUAACAUAGACAUAACAUGGUGUCUGGUCCACAGAGAGCUCACAUGGACUUUCCUACAGGUACUCGUCCGGCUCUCAAAGGACUUAGACAAGACUCAAUGACAGAUAUGGGCUAAUGGAGUCGCCUUGGUCCAAACCUACCUCAGCAUCAACAUGAAAUAAUGCAAUGCAACAUAUUCGUGAACUAGUGCAAUCAACCUACUAUACAUAAUCAUGAUGCAUGCUCAUGCUUUAGGCAUUAGAAUUUCUUAAAAUAAAACAUUAAGUUUAGUUCUACUCACCUCCUGGCAGACGCCGACUGACUCUGCACCUGCUAACACUGAUGGCCUCCUCAGUCUCUCGGGUCCGAUCCUACACAGGUGGACUCGAAUGAGG
rnacentral:lncRNA from 1 species